AGCAUAGAUACACCUAUGGAGGAAUUAGAGCAGGAAAACAAGAAGUUGUGGAAGAGCAACCUGCUCAAGUAGAAAAAGACCAGCGUAGGUCAGGCAGGAUAACGUCACCUGACUAAGACAUAUGGAUAUCUGAUCUAGGUGAUGUAUUACUCAUGAUCAAGAUGAGCCUGUGACCUACUCAUGGAAUCUUCGUUUUGAUGAAAUAGUAAAACAAUAUGGAUUCAUCAAGAACGAAGAUGAGCCUUGUGUCUACAAGAAGGUUAGUGGAGCAUGAUCGUAUUCCUGGUAUUGUAUGUAGAUGACAUAUUACUUAUUGGAAACGAUAUCCCUACCCUGCAAGCAAGCAAAGUCUUGUUGGGAAAUGCUUCUAUGAGGGACCUAGUGAAGCAGCCUAUAUAUUAGGAAUUAGAAUCUAUAGAUCAUAAAAUGCUCGGCCUGAGUCAGAGUACAUAGACAAGGUGCUGAGACGCUUUAAUAUGAAUGAUCCAAUGGUUAUGUGUUUUGCUUAAAUGGUGGCGCUGUGAGCUUGAAAAGUUCAAAGCAAGAUACAGUUGCUGAUUCUACAACCGAGGCCGAGUAUAUUGUUGCCUCAAGUGCAGAAAAAGAGUUGUUUGGAUCAAAAAGUUCAUUAGGAACUUGGCAUAGUCCAUAGCAUUGUGGAUCCCAUUGGUAUCUAUUAUGAUAACAAUGGUGCUAUCGCACAAGCUAAGAAGCCUAGAUCUCACCGACGAUCCAAACACAUACUUAGACGUUGUGUGAGAAUAUGCAGAGUACUACACUUGACAAUAUAGUUGACCCACUGACCAAAGCCUCUUGCCCAGCAGAAGCAUGAUGGCCAUACUAGAUCAAUGGCAUACGGGUAUGCCUGAUUGCUCUAGUGCUAGUGGGAGAUUGUUGGUGUAACCUAGAGGCCAAUACAUUUGGUACUUGUAUCGAAUAAUAAAAGGCAUUCUCUUUAUAUGGUGAUUAAUAAAGUCCUGGAAUAGAUAGUCCGUUUAAUGUAUUAAGUGUGACUUAAUCAUGAGAACACAUUAAACAUAAGGACACUAUUCCUAAAGUAUCCGUAGUCGAGCUUUAGUGUGAAGUGGGAUAACAUUAAAGCAUUAAGACUAUAUGUUUGUAGACUGAUGAUCACAUCUCAUGGAUCAUGGAUAAAGAGUUAUCAAGUCUUAAACAUAGGUAUGAAAUUAGGAGUAAUAUUUUAACCGGAUUGACCGCUAUGAGAAUACUAUAUAGAACGUUAUGCAAAGUGUCAUAAGUUAUUCUCAUGGUGAUAAUAGUGUAUUCCACUCUUCGACCUGAAACCACUAUGGAUCCUAGGUGUAGAGUCGAGUGCUUUAUUGCUGAUCCAACGUUGUCCGUAACUGGAUAACCAUAAAGACAGUUAAUGGGUACUCCACAAAGCAUGCUGAGGACAUGAGUGUCCUAGAUGGAAUUUGCCCAUCCUGCGUAACAGGAUAAAUGUCUAUGGCCCAAUAUUGAACUAGACAAGGAUGACACGGUCUAUACCUUGUGUUCAAUAUAGACAUAAGGGCAAAAGGGUAAUUAUACACAUAAGUAUUAUCACAGAAGGUUUUGUCAGAUCAAUGACAUUUUCGUGUCUUGGGUAGCAGUGAUGUGUUGCUAGAUACCGCUCACUGUUUAUUAUGUUAAAUACAUGAUUUAAUAUAAUUGCCACCGCGCGAAAACCUACAGGGUCACACACAAAGGACGGAUGAUGAGAGAUAGGAUAACUAAGGAAUACCGUAAGGUACGGUGCCCUUAAGUGAGUUAUGAACAUCGUAAGGUACGGUGUACUUGAGUAGAAUACGAAAUAUGGUAAGGUACCAUGGGCUUAAGUGAUUUUGGGCAUAUUAUAAGAUAUGGGCCAAAAUACAUUAAGUGGGCUUUUAGCUUGAAGCCCACACAAGUGGUUCUAUAAAUAGAACCCUUGUGCAGAAGCAAAAAUUUGCGGUUGCAUUAUUUUCGUUUUCUUUCUCACUCUCUCUCUCUCACUCAAAGCCUUCAUUCGUACCAGCUAGCACUGAGAUUGAAGGAACCCGUUCGUGUGGACUGAGUAGAGACGUUGUCAUCGUUCAACGUUCGUGAUCGCGUAGUGGAUCUGCAUCAAAAGGGUUUGAUCGACACAAGAGAUCUGCACCAAAGGUUUCAACCGUCACAAGAGGUAAAUAUUCUAUCACUGAUCAUGACCAUUCGUAAGGAUCUCUAAAGGAGAAUUUUUAUUUCCGCUGCGCUUUGGGUCGCAAUUCUCCUUCAAAAGUGGGGGCAUAUUCUUGAUGAGGAGAUUGAGACGGCAAUGAUGGUGGUUAGAAUUUAGUUUUUGGUGGCCACCGCCGCCGGAAGCGUUUCCGGCGCGGUGGCCAGUGGCGGAGAGCCGGAAAGGUGAGCUGAGAGAAGAGGUGUGCGUUGACGUUUUCAAAUGGUUGCUGACUCCUUCCCAAGUCAAAGUCAGCUUGGGUUUGCUUGUGGAUGGGCUUGGUUCAUCCAAGCCUAAUAUGAUUUUGCUCCCACACACCUUGUUUUGGCCUACACCGCCUGACCAAAAACCUGUUUAACAUUGGGCUUUGGCAACUGAAGCCCAUACGCUUGGAUCCUAUCUUGCCCUCAUUUUCCAGCAUACACCCCCUGGCCAGAUGCUUAGUUCCAAUGGGCUUUUCAUCCAAGGUCCACGCACCAGUUUUGCUUUCCACACCAUUUUCAGGGUCUGCGCCCCCUUGGCCCAUUUCAUUUUAAUUGGAGUUUAAUUUCAAUAUUGUUUUGCCAUUUGUUUUUUUAGUAUUUUUAAUUGGGAUUAAUUAGGCUAAUUUUUAUUAUUAAGAUUAGGUUUUUAAGUAGGCUUUAGAAUUUUAAUUAGAAUUUAGGACUUUAUUAGAUUUUAGUAUAGUUUUCCCAAUUAGAGUUUAAGGGUUAUUUUGAUAUUUUGACCAUAUGAUUGCAUGAUCCCCUAAGAUUAAUUUUCACAUAGAAUUUUAUCAAGUUUCAACAAUUGCAUGCUCCCUUAGAAUAACUUGUAACAUUUUAACCAUUAGAUUAGGACAAACAUAGUUCUCAAAAUCAAAUCAAACCCUCGAUUCAAGUUGAUCAAAAGCAAUUUUGAUCAACUAAAUCCUUUGACCUUGUAUAAUCCCACAGUCAAAAUUGAGUACCAAAAGACCCUUGGUCACUUAAUAAGACUUUUAUUCUAAGCUGUGGAGCUCGAAGCCUCAAGUCAAGAUCUUCAAUCAAAGCAUCCUCAGUCACACCAAGAAACGAAUUAUACAAGAUAAAUCAAAGGUCAACACUUGGUAAAAAUGAUUCAAAUUAUACGAAACGAGCCUUAAGCAAUAGGGAAUGAUGAGAUGGAGUCUCUCCUAUCCUUGUCUAGAGAGACUUUGUGUAUGGGGCGUAUGCCCCAAAUAUUCAAAGUGUUCUCUCUUAUUCAUAGACUUUAGUACAAUACAAAUCGAUUAAACUACCAAGUCUUCUUCAUAUAAAUCAACAUCAACACAAGGAUCAACAAUGAAGAUUCUUCAACAACAACUUGUCAGUUAAGAGAAGUAUCAUGCUUUACGAGCCUUAAGUAAUAGGGAAUGAUGAGAUGGAGUUUCUACUAUCCCUGUCUAGAGUGACUUAGCGUAUGGGGCGUAGGCCCCAAAUAUUCAAAUCGUUCGCCCUUAUUCAUAGACUUUAGUGUGAUUCCUAUCAAUCGACUGUCAAGUCUCUCAUUACUCAAUCUCCAUUCUAUUCAUUUCUUUUCAAUCAUUCAAUCAAUAUUCUCUUCUUGCCUCCUUAAUAUCCUUUUUUUCAGCCGUAAUAGGUUGAACUACGAAAGCUCUGAUUUCCUUAUUGCACCAUAAGGAUACGUAGGCAGGAGAAUUCAGUUUCUUCAUGAGCUACCCUAUUUAUCAAUCAAUCAUUCUCCAUUCAUUCAAUCAAUACCAUCUUUUUUAGAUCAAUCAUACUUCUCCUUGGACUCCUUGUCUAUCCUUUUAGGAAGAUCUAGUGACAGUCCACCUCAUCAAUCGAGAGAUGUUUGGGACUAUUCCCAAACACUUAAUUCAGUCUUUCUUUUUGGCUUUACCCUACAGUGGCGGUCUUACUAGCCCACAUACUGGUAAAUGCUUACCUUGCUCUUUGAUUCAGAGUCUAUCUCCUUCUUGGAUCCAAGAUACUAUUCUUCUUUGAUCUCGAACUAUUUGUUCCCUAUUAAGUGAUACAAUGUUCCUUGUACUAUACAGUACUGCAAUUAUUCCUUGAAGUGGUGUUUGUCUUGCGAGUCCUCGUUGCUUAGACAAAUAUCUCUUUCCUCGUUUCAUGGAAGUUAACCUCUGAAAUUGGGUUUGUCUUGCGAGUCCCCGUUGCUUAGACAAAUACCUUUUUGUUACCUUUAUGUUGGUACGAGCUCUACUCUUCAUCACUGUAUGUCUCUCUUUCUAUUCUCGUGGUUCCUAACUAUGAUUGCUCUGACUUUCUCAUUGCAUAAUGAGAAUACGUAGGCACGAGGAUACGAAUCCUUGGCGAGCAGACUUCUAAUUAUUCCUUCGCCCUAGGGCAUCCCUCAUAUUUUUCACUAUCUACCUUCAAUUAUAAAUCGUUCACCCAGUGACAUAUUAUUCCUUUGACAUUGAUAUACACUUUCCUUGGAAUUCCAUAUACACAUCCUUUUAGGACGCCUAAUGUAAAGUCCGCAUUUCUACCUAUAGUUGUUUGGGACUGUGCCCAAACACUUAAUUCCUUCUUUUUUGGCUUAUCACCCUACAGUGGCGGUCCUACUAGUCCAUGUAUCGGUUAAAUCUAUUUCCCUCUAUGGUACAAAUACCAUUUCUUAUUUGGAUUUCAAUACACUUUCACCUUUCGGUUUCAAACAAUACUUCUUCAGUCACUUAUCAUCAAACAUUCAAUUUUGUGACUUUGGUCACCUCAUUCCGUUCAUCUCCAUGAUACAUUCAUAUUCUACGUUCAUUCACUCCAUGUGAUAUACCAGUUAUCUUUGAACCAAAUACACUACCUCUUUGUGCUCCUUCUUGCGUCACCUUAUGAACCAAGAGAUGUUUGGGACUGUGCCCAAACACUUAUUUCUUCGUCUUUUUGGCAUUACCCUAUAGCGGAGGUCUUACUAGCCCGCGUACUAGUAAUAGCCACCUUACUCUUGGGUUCAUCUUUUCACCCUUGUUGGAGCUCAAAACACUAUUCUUUGGUUCAGACCGUUCCUCUGAUCACACUUCUUUUCAUCUCCCGCCCCUAGUUCCUUGAACUAUGAAGCUCUGAAUUCCUCAUUGCACUAUGAGGAUACGUAGGCAUGAGGGCCAUAAUCCUCACCGAGCACUUUAUCUAUUUCUUUCCCUUUUCCCCAUUCUUUUGCGAGUAAUCUUUAGAUAUAACACCUAUUCGAGAGAGACCAAUAAAUAUGGUUCCCAUGGAGUACCAUGGAUGUUUAGGUUUCUAAUACCUUCCCCUUGCAUAACCGACUUCCUUACCCAGCAUAUCUCUUUUCCCUGGGUUUUAUCGAUGUUUUCCCUUUCCCUCUGGAAUAAAUAAAGUUCGAUGGCGACUCUGUUGUAUGUUCGAGCGUGCGAUACGUUCGAGUAUAUUUCCGCUAGCACCAAGUACUAUAAAUGUUUGGGGUGAUAAUACCUUCCCUUUGCAUAACCAACCCCCGUACCUUUGAUGUCUACUUGCUUUGCUCCUAGUUUUACUAUUUGCUAUGCAUUUUUAUUUUGGGUUUAUUUUGAAUCUUUUCCCCUUCCUUUGGAAAAAUAAAAGUUCGGUGGUGAUAUCAAUGUUUUACGAGUCAAGUUAAUCCAAUAGCUUGGUCUCCGAUUCUCACCACGACAAAAAUGGAGACUUCACUAGGGACAAUUCCCAAUAGGGUUAUACCUAUUUUAUUUUCAUCUAUGUUUUAUUAUUUGUUUGUUUAUAUUGGCUUGGGUGAUCUUUGUGUUAAGAUAAGUCCUAACCUGGACUUGAGUGCAUAUUGAGAUAUGAUGGUGGUAUAGUCAAGUUGGCUUGGGUGGAGUAAUCCCUAACAAGCUAACUUGAGAAUCCCCCAAUCAGUGGAGGCCCCUUUAGGGAUGGUAUUUGUUGAACGAGUAAUCGUAAAUACAUUUUCUAUCUUUGACCUGGAAGCUUAAGAAUAUGAUGACUUUAGUAUCCUUUUACUCUACUAAGCCUUGUUAAGACGUAGUGUGGUGACUAUGAAGGUGUAAACCUGAAUUAGUUGAUACACGAUACUACACUCAUAUGAGUUUCUCUUGAGAAUAUUAUUAUUUGACAAGUAAUUGUCUAAAUCGGUAAUAUCCGAAAGAUGGGAUUAUGAUUCUGGAAACUUUCUUAGAACCUUGGUUCCUAUCUUGAUGAUAAACCCUUAGCACUUACAUUUGUUAGGAUGGUUAGACCCAUGGCCUCAUGCUCGUGAAGUCAAACUGAUAAACCCCAUGUAUUUGAUAUCUUGCUUAUGUUUGUUGAUCUUGAUGUGUUUGUGCAUUCAUACAUUCAUGCAUUUAUUAACAUCGUCUUAAUUAAAGUCUUCAAAGAACUUAAAAGCAUUUGUUGCAAAUAUCAUAGGAAUCUUUCAUUAUGGAUUUUGGAAGAAAAAGAACUCAAAAGUACAGUUUCAAAAGUCCAAAAUUGAAAUAUUUAAGAGAGCUAGGAUCUUUGGUGGUUAAUCCUGAAGACUUCAAAGGCAGAUAUGAGAUACUUCUACCUCUUUUGGAGACCAACAUGAUGGAGGGGAUUCUUGCUACAUUGGUUCAAUUCUAUGAUCCAUUGUACCGGUGCUUUACCUUUCCAGAUUAUCAGCUUAUGCCUACCUUGGAGGAGUUUUCUCACUUUAUUGGCCUACCCAUCCCUGAUCAAGUUCCCUUUUCCAGUUUAGAAGAAAUUCCAAAGCAUCAAGACAUUGCAAAAGCUACUCAUUUAAAGAUGUCUGAGAUCAAAGCUAAUCUAACUACAAAAGGAGGAAUUCUUGGCGUGCCUGCUAAAUUCUUGAUAGAGGAAGCUCGUUAUUUUGCUAGCAUGAAUAGUAUGGAUGCUUUUUAGGCUAUUCUUGCCUUGCUCAUAUAUGGAUUGUUCCUCUUCUCUAAUGUUGAUGACUUUGUUGACAUUAAUGCUAUCAAAAUAUUCUUAAUUGGAAAUCCAGUUCCUACCUUGCUUGCAGAUGUUUACCAUUCAGUCAAUCUCAGAAAUUUUCAUAAGGGAGGAAUGAGCAUAUGUUGUGUAACUCUGCUCUACAAGUGGUUUAUUUUGCACUUUCCUCGAUCUACCGCCUUUUGGGACCUUAAGGAUGGUUUGCUAUGGUCACAAAAGAUUAUGUCUCUCACUCAUUCUAACAUUUAUUGGUUUGGUCGUGCUUAUGAGGGGGUGACUAUUGUUGAUAGUUGUGGUGAGUUUCCUAAGGCACCUCUUCUUGGUAUAAAAGGAGGCAUUAACUACAACCCAAUUUUGGCUCACCGUUAGUUUGGAUACCCAAUGAAGGACAAGCCCAACACCAUCUUCUUAGAGAGUUUCUUUUUCAAGGAAGGAGAAGACAACAGAGCAUUCAAAGAAAAGAUUAUGCAUGCCUGGCGCCACGUCCAUAAGAAAAGAAGAGAAGUUCUAGGAAAGUUAAAUUGCGUCUCUAUGGAGCCUUAUCUCUAAUGGGUACAAGCUAGGGCCGUAAAUUUAAAAAUUCCUUAUCCUAGACAAGAACCUUUGUCUUUAACUGUUAAAGAACCUUCUUUCGUUUUCAUGACUAACGCGGAGAAACUCAAAAUUUCUUUGACUAGGGUGCAACGAGAAAGGGAUGCUUGGAAGAACAAGUAUCAUAUUGUUCACGCAGAGAAUGAAGAGUUUCAAAUACAUUUGAAGCAGAGGAAUGAUGAAGAGCUUGCUAAUAAGAGAAGAAACGUGCAAGAGGGUUUAUUUUCCUCUAGCAUUAUGACAGUUCCUGGUUCAGAUAAUCCUCCUACCUCAUGCGCUUGGAAGAUGAUUGUCGACAAGCUAGUGGUUGAAAAGAUUCAGAUGAAGGACCGAAUCAAGGAGCUUAAUGGGAAGCUACAAAGAGGGAUUGAAUCUUCUUCUCAACAACUUCCUUAUGAUUCUAGUUGUUUCCUUGUAUCUUAUGAAAGUGUACUUCAAAAAUUGUAAUCUUUCUAAUAUUAAUGAAAUGAGAUUUUGUUUUAGCCAUCAAAAGAGUAAUGUUUCUCUCCAUGAUGUUUGAAAUAAUUGUGUUUAUCAAAGUUCCUUAAAUACAUUUUCAUUGCACAUCAUGCAUUAUUCUAAACAUUACAUUUUUUUGCAUUCCCAAGACUUAUCCCUAUCUUUCGCUCCAAUAACUGUUUCACCGGUACAACACUCGAGCUAGUCGUCAGAAAAGGACGGAACAACUUGAAAAGGAAAAUCAGGAUCUCAGGGAAGAGGUUACUUCACUCAAAAGAAAUUUGGAGAGACUCACAACUAUGAUGGAAACACUGGUGGCUGCUCAGAAUCAGCCACCCCUAGAGACUAUUCAAAGAACUGUAAUUUUAGAGGUCGUAUUUACGCCCGCUUCUGUGGCACCUGUGAAUGCUCCUCAAUAUCAGAUGCACCUCAAUUUCCCUUGGGGCAUGCCACCAAAUUAUAUACCGGAAGGUUACCUCCCACAAGUUCCUGAAGCUCCCGUAGUGUAUGCUAUCAUGUAUGUGCCACCUCCUGCGAUACACACUACUCCAUACCACAAAGAGCCCAUCUUUCACGCCACUCCAAGUGAGAGUAUGGGAGUAUAUGGGAUAAUGGACGAAUCCAAGAUCAAUUUGUUGAGAUGCAAAGAGAGAUUAAAGCCUUUAGGGGAAAAGAUCUAUUUGGGAUGAAUGCUCACGAUAUCUGCCUUGUGCCAAAUGUCAAAAUACCUGCCAAAUUCAAAGUACCUGACUUUGAAAAGUACAAGGGGGAUUCUUAUCCAAGGAGCCACUUAACUAUGUAUGCCCGAAAAAUGUCCACUCAAACUGACAACCACCAGUUGCUAAUUCACUACUUUCAAGACAGUCUAUCUGGUGCCGCUCUCAAGUGGUACAUGAACUUGGAUAAUGCCCAUAUCCAUACAUUCAACGAUCUAGGUGAAGCUUUCAUCAGGCAGUACGAGUACAAUGUCGACAUGGCAUCGGACAAAGAUCAACUCCGAGCUAUGUCCCAAAGAGACAAGGAAACAUUCAAGGAAUAUGCACAAAGAUGGCGUGAGGUUGCCGCCCAGAUUUUUCCUCCUCUCGAAGAAAGUGAAAUGACUAAGAUCUACUUGAACACUCUAAUUUCUUUCUACUAUGAACGAACGAUAGUAAGCGUGCCAAGUGACUUCACUGACAUGGUGAAUAUGGGGAUGCGUCUCGAAGAAGGUGCCAGUAAGGGACGAUUGGUCAAAGAAGGUGGUUUAUUUAGCGGCGUCAGAAAGUUCGGAGUUGGGUUCCCUAAGAAGAAAGAGCAAGACGUCAGUACAGUGGUACACAGAAGACCAAGGAAGAGAUAUCAACAACAACAUGUUGCAGCAGUAGAUCCAGCCUACCAACCACAAUUCUUACAACAAUCUCAACCAUAAGUUCAACAACGACAAUAACAACCACAAUUUACACAACAACAACCUCAGUACAUUCAACAUAAUACCCCGCAACUGCAACAACGACCUCAACAACAGGCCCGUCCAUAAUACAAUAAUAACCAAGCUCAAAGAAGGACACAAUUUGAUCCAAUACAUAUGACUUACACAAAACUAUUCCCAUCUUUGGUCGACAAGAAACACAUUCAAACUAGACCUCCUUCCCCCUAUUCCGGAGAAACUUAUGUAUUGGUACAAAGAUGACCAGUUUUGCGCUUUCCACCAAGGGGCACCCGGACAUAAUCUAGAAGACUGUUAUGGCUUGAAGUCUGACGUCCAAAGAUUGAUCAAAAGCGGCGUUCUAUCUUUCAGAGAUGUCAAUUCAAAUGUACAAGUCAAUCCACUACCUCAACAUGGAGGAGCUUCUAUCAACAUGGUGGAAGGUUGUCCUGGUACUUUCAGAGUUUAUGAUGUACUUUAUCUAGAGGGAGAUUUGGUUGAAAUUCACCUUAAGUUGGGUGAGCUCAUCUAUAUGACGCCACACAACUAUGCGGCUUGCGGAAUUUUCCGUACAACUCUUCGUGGUUGUCCCAUUGUAAGGGAAGACUUGCAAAAAAAAGUAGACAACGAGCUUAUCCGAGUUGAUAGAAAUCGAAACUUCAAUCAAGUCAAUAUGGUUGAGGGAUGUCAGGGUAAUUACCAAAUCUACGAUGUGAGAUUUGUGAGAGGAUCUUUGGUUGAUAUGCACAAAAGUUUGUUUCGACUUGCUUUUUUUCCAUCACAUGAUUAUACCACCUGUGAAGUUUGUUCGAUAAACCCAUGUGCAUGUUCCCUUGUACAACAGGAUAUCCAAGAAUUGUUGGACGCAAGAACUAUCACUAUUGUCCAUCCUAGAAAUCUCGAGAACAAUGUCAAUGUUAUAGUCCCUCAGUUCAAUGUUUCUGAAUCCUUGGAGAUCAUAUUCGAUAGUCACAACUCUACAAAGUCACCUUUGGUUAUCUACUUACUGGGCCCAGCUCCAUACCAAUCUGACAAAGCCGUACCUUACAAGUACCAAGCUACCAUGAUCAAAGAUGGGAAUAAGGUUCCUCUACCCUCUAUGCCUUUUGUCGUCAACAUUGCCAAUGUAAGUGGGGUCACAAGAAGCGGGCGUGUAUUCACUACGGUACCACCAAGAAAUGUUGAAGCUUCAGUUGGGAAGAAAACACAAGUUGAGGCAUCGACUGUGAGCAAUAAACCUGAUAUUAUGAAAGAGUCCAGUGGGGCUAAUAUCAAUUCAGAAUUUGAUAAGGUUUUGAUAUUAAUCAAGAAGAGCGAAUACAAAAUUAUGGAUCAGCUCAUACGAACCCCUUUUCUAAAAUAUUUGUUUUAUCCCUGCUGAUGAGUUCUGAGGCUCAUAGGGAGGCUCUACAAAAAGUGCUCGAGCAAGAUUAUGUCGAGUAUGAUGUAACGAUUGACCAAUUUGACAACAUCGUCGCCAACAUAACUGCCUGCAACAAUAUGAGCUUCAGACAUGAAGAACUCUUAGUAGAAGGCAAGAAUCACAAUAUGGCUUUGCAUAUUUCUAUGAAUUGCCCUACUGAUUCUCUAUCCGGUGUAUUGGUAGACACAGGUUCUUCACUCAACGUCAUGCCAAAAUCAACUUUGUCUAGAUUGACUUUUCAAGGAGCUCCUAUGAGAUCUAGUGGGGUUAUUUUCAAAGUUUUUGACGGCUCCAGAAAGACUAUCAUCGGUGAAGUGGAUCUUCCCAUGACCAUUGGCCCACAUACCUUUCAAAUAACCUUUCAAGUGAUGGAUAUCCGUGCUUCUUAUAGUUGUUUAUUCGGUCAUUCUUGGAUCCAUGAGGCAAUGGUUGUCACUUCAACUCUUCACCAGAGGCUCAAGUUUCUAAGAAAGGCGAAGCUAGUCACAGUAUGUGGAGAAGAAGCUUUAAUGGUGAGUCACCUAUCGUCUUUUUAUUUCGUCGAUGCUGAGGACAAGAUUGGAACCCAGGUUCAAACUCUAUUUGUUGUUGACGAGAACGUACAAGAGAAUGGAGCUUCCAUUCGUUCCUUCAAUGAUGCACAUCAGUUAGUCAAAGAUGGCUCAAUGAGUGGAUGCGGACAAGUUGUGAGUCUCCCCGAAAACAAAUUUCGUGAAGGCCUUGGCUUCUCACCUACAUCUUCAAAGCUUUCUCAACAAGACGCAGUUCUCCGUUAUAUUCAAGAAACUUUCUAAAGUGGAGGACUCAUCAAUACUACUCAACCUGAAACAAAUGUUGUCAUUGAAGAAGACCCCGAAGAGGAUGCACAAAUCUUCGUGACGCACAGGAUGGUCUGCCAAAAUUGGAUAGUUGUUGGCGUUCCUACGAUUGUUCAUGUUUCUAAGUAAUAUUUUAUUGUCAUUUAAAAAAAAUCCUUUCGUUCUGUCCAAGACAAAAGAGUAUUUUGUUGGGCUUUGUUUCAAGUUCCCAUUAUCAUUAAUAAAAAUGUUCAUUUUGUCUUCCAUUUCGUUUUAUUUUUUGCCUUUCGAAAAAUGGUAACAUAAAACAAACAAACAAAAAUCACUUUCAAUAUCUGCAUAUAAAUUCCAUUAUUUUUAUCCUAAAAAAACAAGCAAAAAUCAUGUGUGCAGAUUAAUCAAUGUCACACCCAUUGAGAGCAAUGACCCUAUGCCCUCUCCCAACUUUGAUCUCCCUAUAUUUGAGGUUGAAGAAGAAAGUGAUGAAGAUAUUCCAUAUGAGAUCUCCCAACUAUUUGAACAAGAACAAAAGGCCAUUCAGCCCUACAAAGAGCCUAUAGAAGUGAUUAACUUGGGUUAUAAAAAAGAUAGAAAGGAGGUCAAGGAAAGAAUGAUAGAUAUCCUUAGAGAGUAUAAAAAUGUAUUUGCUUGGUCUUAUCAGGACAUGCCAAGUCUUGAUACUGAUAUUGUAGAUCAUCAUUUACCGGUGAAAUCAGAAUGUCCGAUGGUCAAACAGAAAUUAAGAAGAACAUGCCCAGAUAUGGCUCUCAAAAUCAAAGAAGAGGUUCAGAAGCAGAUUGAUGUUGAUUUUCUUAUUACAUCUGAGUAUCCUUAGUGGUUGGCCAACAUAGUGCUCGUUCCAAAGAAAGAUGGUAAAGUUCGAAUGUGUGUCGACUACAUAGAUUUGAACAAAGCCAGUCCAAAGGACGAUUUCCAUUUGCCUCAUAUUGAUAUGUUGGUCACAACACUGCCAAAUUCAAGGUCUUUUCUUUCAUGGAUGGAUUCUCUGGUUACAAUCAGAUCAGAAUGGCACCCGAAGAUAGGGAGAAAACAUCAUUUAUUACACCUUGGGGAACAUUCUGCUACAGAGUAAUGCCUUUCAGUUUGAAGAACAAUGGUGCAACCUAUCAGCGAGUCAUGACAAUGCUCUUCCAUGAAAUGAUGCACAAAGAAAUUGAGGUCUAUGUGGACGACAUGAUUGCUAAGUCCAAGACCAAAGAAGAGCAUGUUGAGUAUUUAUUAAAGUUGUUUCAACGUUUGAGGAAGUACAAACUCCAUCUGAACCCCAACAAAUGUACUUUCGGUGUCCGUUCAGGAAAGCUACUAGGCUUCAUCGUCAAUCAGCAAGGUAUUGAGGUGGACCUUGACAAAGUGAGAGCCGCUCAAGAAAUGCCUGCACCAACAACAGAGAAACAAGUGAGAGGAUUCCCUAGAUAUUUGAAUUAUAUCUCCCGAUUUAUAUCUCAUAUGACUGCUACUUGUGGGCCAAUUUUCAAGCUUCUUUGUAAAGAUCAAGGUUGUGUGUGGACUGAAGACUACCAGAAAGCUUUUGAUAGUAUCAAGGAGUACCUGUUAGAGCCUCCUAUUUUGAUUCCUCCGGUGGAAGGAAGGCCUUUGAUUAUGUAUUUGACCAUAUUAGAAGAUUCCAUGGGUUGUGUGCUCGGUCAACAAGAUGAAACUGGAAGAAAGGACCAUGCCAUUUACUAUUUGAGUAAGAAAUUCACAAAUUGGAAGUCUCGAUACUCUAUGCUCAAAAAAAGUUGUUGUGCUUUAGCUUAGGCUGCCCUUCGUCUCCGCCAAUAUAUUAUCAAUCAUACUACUUGGUUAAUCUCCAAAAUAGAUCUAAUCAAGUACAUCUUUGAAAAGCCUGCUUUAACUGGAAGAAUUGCUUGUUGGCAGAUGUUGUUGUCAGAAUACGAUAUUGAGUACCAUACCCAGAAGGCAAUAAAAGGAAGUAUAUUGGAUGAACAUUUAGCUCACUGGCCAAUUGACGACUAUCAAUCCAUUCAAUUUGACUUCCCUGAUGAGGAUGUAAUGUACUUGAAAGCAAAAGAUUAUGAUGAACUGUUGCCAAGUGAAGGACCAGAUCCAGAAUCACAUUGGGGUUUGAUAUUUGAUGGAUCUGUUAAUGCUUAUGGAAAUGAAAUUGGGGCAGUCAUUGUCACUCCUCAAGGUUCUCAUAUUAUAUUUACCGCAAGAUUGACAUUCACUUGUACGAACAACGUGGCAGAAUAUGAAGCGUGCAUUAUGGAUCUGGAAGAGGCUAUCGACUUGAGAAUCAAAAUUUUGGACGUAUAUGGAGAUUCAACUUUGGUGAUUAAUCAGAUCAAAGGAGAAUGGGAAACCCAUCAACCUGGUUUUAUUCCUUACAAAGAUUAUGCAAGGAGGUUGUCAACUUUCUUAAACCAAAUUGAAUUUCAUCAUAUACCUCGUGAGGAGAAUCAGAUAGUAGAUGCUCUGGCAACUUUAUCCUCCGUGAUUGUUGUGAACCGGUGGAAUGAUGUGCCUACAAUAAAUAUUAUGCGCCUCGAUAGACCUACUCAUCUGUUUGUCACAGAAGAGGUAAUUGAUGGUAAAACAUGGUAUCAUGAUAUUAAAUUCUUUAUUCAAAGACAAGAGUACCCACCUGGGGCAUCAAACAAAGAUAAGAAGACUCUAAGAAGGUUGGAUGGUACCUUCUUUCUUAACGAAGACGUGUUGUACAAAAGAAACUUUGACAUGGUCUUGCUCAGAUGCGUGGAUAGACACGAAGCAGACAUGCUGGUAACGGAAAUUCAUGAACGAUCCUUUGGUACCUAUGCCAAUGGACAUGCAAUGGCUAAAAGGAUGUUAAGGACAGGUUACUAUUGGCUGACGAUGGAAUCUGACUGCUGCAAAUAUGUGAAGAAGUGCCAUAAAUGUCAGGUUUAUGCUGAUAAGUUUCAUGUGCCUCCAACUAUUCUUAAAGUUAUCUCAUCUCCUUGGCCUUUAUCUAUGUGGGGAAUUGACUUGAUUGGUAUGAUAUGACCUAAAGCUUCGAACGAACAUCGCUUUAUUCUAGUGGCCAUGUUACUUUAUAAAGUGGGUCGAAGAGGCAUCGUACGCCAAUAUGACCAAGCAAGUGGUGGUCCGAUUUAUCAAGAAUUAACUAAUCUGUCAUUAUGGUGUUCCAAGUAAGACCAUUACUGAUAAUUGAUCAAACCUGAACAACAAGAUGAUGAAAGAAAUGUGUGCAGAAUUCAAGAUUGAAGACCAUAACUCAUCUUCUUACAUACCUAAGAUGAAUGGGGCCGUUGAAGCUGCGAACAAGAAUAUAAAGAAGAUCAUCCAGAGAAUGGUGGUGAGUUACAAGCACUGGCAUGAGAUGCUCCCUUUUGCUCUACAUGGGUAUCGUACAUCCGCCCGCACUUCAAUUGGGGAACCCCUUCCUCUCUUGUACAUGGAAUGGAAGCAAUGCUCCGCGUGGAAGUUGAGAUCCCGUCAAUGAGAGUCUUGAUUGAAGUAGAUCUGUCUGAGGCUGAAUGGUGUCAAAUUAGAUUUGAUCAGUUGAAUUUAAUUUGAGAAAAAAGGAUGAAGGCUUUAUGCCAUGGUCAAUUGUAUCAACAAAGGAUGAAGAAUGCUUUUGAUAAGAAGGUUUGACCUCGUGUGUUCAGAGAAGGUGACCUCAUGCUCAAGAAGAUCUUGUCUUUCAUUACUGAUUCUAGGGGCAAGUGGACUCCUAAUUAUGAAGGACUAUAUGUUGUUAAGAGAGAUCUCUAUGGUGGUGCUAUAAUCCUUACAACUUCGGAUGGUGAUGAGCUCCCUCUUCUUGUGAAUGCUGAUGCAGUCAAGAAAUACUUCACCUAAAAUAUAAAAGAAUAGCUCUCUAAGUUGAAAACAUGAAAGGGAAGCUUAGGAAAAAAAGAGCAUCUCAAUGGGCUGAAAACCCGAAAGGGUGGUCCAGGCAAAAGUUAGAGACAUAAACAAAAAAUGAUUAUCCCGGUAUAUUGACACCCGCAAGGGACAAUCUAGGCAAAAAUUAGGGAUUAUAGCAAGUAACUACAUCAGGCCAGACUUGAUCAACUUAAAGCGACCUCACCCAUCAAAGUCUUCCCAAUCAAAUUACUCUCUCCAGAAACUCGAACACAAUGGAUUUCAAAGUUGAUAGGGAGAAUAGUGGCCAUUGCAUUUUAAUGUAGCCUUUUCCUAUAUUUACCGAUUUUUUUCAUCUUUGUAAAUUAUUUAUAGGGUCCCUCCAUUUACGGACUACCAUUCCGUCAAUAAAAUUCAAGACUUUAUCCAUUUGUUUGCAACUCUUAUUUCACUUCCUUCUCGCAAAAUGAAUUUUUACUUUUGAUGAGAAAAUUCUUGAAACAAAAGCUUAAAAUAUUUUGUUCUUGCUUUUAAGAAGUGUGUGUGUGUUUCUUUUAAUUUAUGAACAUAAUAAGGAAUGUCAACAGUACUCCCAUAAAAGGUUGGAUCCUGAUGUGCGGAGCUCAAUGCUUUCUUAAAAUAAUUUCUUCAUUAUCCUCAAUGGAAUUGCAACAGUGGAUGAUUCUUGCUCCUUUAGGAGACCUUCCCUCCAUUUGGCACUAUUAUGUUGGUAUCUCUAGAGAAGAUUGGGCUUGAAGGCAACUUUACUCCAUUGAUGACUUCUUGUUUUAUCUCCAGUGAGGCUUCUAUCCUGUUGAGAUUAGCCGAGUGUUGAUUUGUACUGAGAUGUUUAUUUCAUCUCCAGUUCAUCUACUAUUGCCUAUUUUUUCAGCAUAAGUGUCGCACCUCGAAAAUGAUAAUGCGAUCCCUCGCGAUAGGAUGCAGAAAAAUGUUGUUUGAAACAGGGUCGCCACCGAACAUUAUUUAUCCCAAUGAAGGAAUAGGAAAAUAUCGAGAAAACCUUUAGAAAUAAGAAUAAUGGUCGUCGCAACCAUAUUCACGUUCGGGAGUCGAUUACGCAAGGGGAAGGUAUUAGCACCCCUCAUGUCCGUUGUACUCAACGGGAACCUUUUAGUCUGAUUUUGCUAUUUGAUUGUUAGUUGAUUGUUAUCUGCUUGCUUUGAGUAAUUAGAAUUGACGAUAGAUAUGGAUGAAGACCUCAGGAGGGAAAUGGGAGGUUUUUUAUUAGUGUGCUCGCGAAGAUACGGCAAUCUCCUGCCUACGUAUCCUUAUGGCGCAAUAAGGAAAUCAGAGCAUUCGUAGUUCGGGCUACUACGAAUAUUUGGUGUGUUUUAUUUUGAUGAACGACUAUGUAGGUCGGCGUUCUAACGGCUAAACGCUGACUUGUCUACUCUCGGGGGAGGCUCUAGCACUAGUUUGUUGUGCGCAUUAGAAAGGAUUAACAGUGUUCUUUUUGAGAGAAAGGUUUUGGUCACGCGGGGGUGACGACUUGAAUUGAUAGGUUUGAUGUUUGAUUGGUUUCAGUCGCGCGGGGGCGAGAAAUUAGAUUUGAUUUGUUAAGGUGUUUUGAAGAACGACGAAAGAUUGAGCAAUGUGGUGCACACCAAUCGUCCAAUUCUUUCGAGGAAUAACAAGGCGGACGCCUUCUACUCCUUUUUCGUUCGAUUAUUUUGAAAGUUUUGUUUGCGGAUGUUGAAUAUGCAAGGUAGUGAGGCGUACGCCUCCUACUUGCUUAUUCAAAGAAUAAUGAGGCGAGCGCCACCUAUUCCGUUAUCCAAGUUUAUUUAGCGUGUGUUAAUCGGAAGUCGAUAAUUUGUGCAAUAUGGCGAACGCCAAUUAUUCAAAUAAUCGAGAGAUGGCGAGGCGAACACCUCCCAUCUUUUAUCAUCCGAGGUUUAAAUUGUAAAAGAUAUGUUUUUAGACGUCGUAUUUGAUUUGCGAAAAUAGUUUGAAUUUUGCUAGGUUUGGAUCGAUAAUUUGAGCAAUGUGGCGUACGCCAAUUAUUCAAAUAAUCAAGGAAUGGUGAGGCGAACGCCUCCCAUUCUCUAAUUGAGGUUUAAGUUAUAUAGUUUAUUUUUGUGAAAUUGUAUUCUAUAUAAAAGGUGAUUUGAAUUUAUUCGGUUGUGGUUUUGAUUUGAUGACGAAGAUUCGAGCAAUAUGGCGUACGCCAAUUAUUCGAAUAAUCGAAAGAUAGUGAGGCGAACGCCUCCUAUCCUUUUAUUAUCGGAAAUUUAGAAUCAAAUGGUUGUAGAAUUUGCAGUUGAUUUAGAAAAUGUGAUUUGAAUGUGUAUGAUUAAGGUUUAAUUGGGUGACAAGAACUCGAGCAAUAUGGCGUACGCCAAUUAUUCAAGUGCUUGAGAAAUAGUGAAGCGAACGCUUCCUAUAUCUUUUUCAUCCCAAAAUUUAUGUUUAAAAGAGAAAAAUCUUAAGAAGUUAAACGGUUUGGAAAAUGGUUUGAAUUCAUGUUUAUGAAUGAAAUGAAUUUUAUUUAGUGUAUUGUUCAUCUACUCGAUUAAUCAAUAACCAAAUAGGUCUCAUUGUAAGAAAGCCCAAGAGUAAGCUAUGUGAGGUUGAUGGCGAUGCUAAGAGCAAUCGACUUACAAGGGUGUUUAAAAAAAUAGGCUCGAUGUUAAAUCGAGAAUUGGAUGAUUUAUUUGGGUGAAUCACCUGGUUGGUAAUUGAUGACAAAAUGGAACGAAAUGAUGUGAAGUGUAAUUAAAUUCGAAUAAUCACUUAUCUAAAAUAGUCAGAAAUAAUCAUCAUAAAUAUAUUUGAUUUAAACCAAAUAUCGAGAUGGUUAAAAUUAAUUAUUAGGAUUACCUAAUUUAAACAAAUCUUGAUUAAUCAAUUAAUUAAAAAAUGAUGAAGUAAGUGAACCACAAUGUGCUCAACCAAUUUUUCACAGAGAAUGAACAACAUACCUAAUAUCAUUCGCAAAAAUCCUAAUGUGGCAAAUAUUAUAUUACUGUAUUGAAAAUUGAGCGGUAUAUUGACAUGAAAUUAUCGAAUCCGCGAGUCAAAAAUAAGUCCAAUUAAAUAAGGAGAUGAAAUAAAAAUUAGUAAUAAACCAAUAGCAGGAGGGGUGCAAGCAGAGCACAGGAGGGUGAUGGUAUCCAAACCAUUAAUUGGGUCAGGCCCAAAACACAAUCCAAUUACCAAAACUCACUUAACUAUACUAAUCAUGUAAUUAAUCCCUAUUAACAAAUGCAUAAAGAAGAAAAGAAAAAAAAAACAAGUUUAGCACAAGAUUUUCUCAACCAAUCAGAAGAGACAAGGAGUUUUUAGAGCUGGAUCACCUCAUCCAUCACUUCAGUACCUACACAUCCCUAGCAGAACAAAUCACUCAAUGGAUCGCUUCAAAACCCACUUCUAAAUCACGUUGUUCGCAACUUUCACACUUAUGUUAACUUCCCCUGCAUCUUCCAUGUCAUGAUCGUCUCCGCCUUCAUGAUGAUGCAUCGUCGACCACGUAACUCAGCGCAAAGAUGGUGAUGAUGAAGUUUGAAAAUUUGUAUUGUAUAGCUACUGGUGAUGGUUGAGUUGCAAAAUUUGUUGACAGGGAUGAUUCGGUUUAUAUAUGGGGAGGUUAUGUACCAAAAAACUUAUUCAAGCAUUAUAAUGAGUCGGGUUUGCGGGCGGUUGUAGCUGUUGGGGGUGGAAGGAAGUGGGCGGUUGGUUUUUUUUGCGGAAGUUGUUAGGUUUUUGUGUGGAUCCAACGGCGGUGAAGCGAAGUGAUGGCGGUAAAGAACAACGAGGUUUAAUGGUGACGGUUGAAGCCGGAGGAGACGGUCGUUGAGGGUUUGAGAGGUGAGGUGCGGUUGUGAAACGGAGAUGGUUGACGAACGGAGGGAGCUAGCGGAUGUAUCCGGUUCAGUGGCCGGUCAUUUGGAGUGGGUUGUGGAAGGAGAUUUUCGGUGAGGGUUUCGUGGUGGUAGAUCAGAGAGAAAAAGGGUCGCGUGGUUCGAAGGUGAUGGUGGCGAGGGUUUGACGGAGGAAUGUUUAUGAGGGGUUGUGUCGUUAGCGGUGGUGAGUGGUUGAUGGUCGAUUGAAGAAGAAAAAGGAGAUGGUGAUGGUUCUGUGUGUGGGAAGUAGAUCGGAGGGUUUGGAUAGAUGGGGUAUGGUUGAAGUGGGAUUUCGGCAGGGUAACAGUAUAUUUCUUCUUUUUCCUUCCCAAUGAUUCGACACAUCCUUUUAUAGGCGAAGUUUGUGGUCCCUCUGAGUAUGAGCUGGCUCGGAUUGCAUAAUCAGUCGGUUAGAAUCGGAUCAUUCCCAGAUUUGGUGGGGACCAAAUACGUGACAGGUAAGAAUCUCUCUCUCUGUAGUGUAAUCUCAAAUCCUUCUAGAACAUGUGGUCCCAUAGGAGAAAAUCUCACUGCUUGUUGUCACGUUAUGCUUGUUGUUUGUUGAAUGCAGGAUCUCAUUGGCGGCAUGACAAGUCCUUAUUCUCUGCCUUGGUUGUGAAGCGGCUUACGUUUGAAUUGAGAUUAGAGUAUGAGCAUCUAAGAAGGGUGAAAACGAUGGUGGACGUUAGCAUUCGUCCGCUUUCCGAGGCUUGGAUUUGUUUUUGAGAAGAAUUUCGGUUGAAUUUCCCCUGUGAACCUUUACUUGUUAGCUUCUUAAUUUUGGUUGAAAAUCCAACUUUCUGUAUGCAUUGCCGGUGUUUGUUUUUAUUGACUUUGGCUUGAUCUCUUGGCUCUCAUCAAGUCAAUUGUUCAUGCUGCUGGAUUGUACAUGUUGUGUGUAUGAAUUACUAUGAUGUAACCUUUACUCACACACUUGAUUUUGCAGGUUGCACUUGUGAAAUUAGUUUGCAGGUUCAACAGUACUGAAUAGAUCUCCUCUUGCAAGCUUAAGUUAUUUUUUGAAAGUGGUAUUUGAGAAGAGUGAACUUAUUAGCUCAUUAUGCAUUCCUGUUCUUCGGAUAACUUGCAGGCAAGCGCCCCAUUAGGUUGAAGCAAUUUCGUCUGCUAUUUGGAUGAGUCAGAGGUAUCUAUUUAAAAACUGCACAACCUAAACGUUCCUGUACUUUCGGAAUCCAUGUACCUUUGUAGCAUGAAUUUGUGUUGUUGCUUGGUACUUUGAGUUUGAUCUGGUAUACGACUUACCGCAGGUUUUGCUGUGACCACUGAUGUGUUGUAGAGUACUGAUUAUCUCAUUCCUAUUGGUAAGCCUGUGGUACUAUCUGGCGGCAAUCCUCCAAGAAGAUUGACAAAUGCUGCAGGUAUCAUCGCCUACAGAGUUUAAACCAUGUAUUUAAUUGUUUUAUAUGAUGAUGUUACCGGUGUAUUCAAUCCGUGUUGGUAACCUGCUGCAGGUUUUGGUUGCAUUUACCCUGAACAUCGUUUAGAUGGCAUGUUCAUGUUUUAAUUUUAUGUUAUGCAUUUCGAGAUUAUGCUGCAGUAGAAAGCAAUUUAGCCGACGACUGUCGUGGGCCCUGCCCUUGAUUAAUAAUCCAACUCAAUUGCAGCUGAAUUUCCAACAAAUGUGCCCUCCACAGUGCUCACUUGACUAGCUGGAUUGGGCAUGGGGGAACCAAAUGGUGGUUCUGAUGAUUUCCACUCAAAAGACGCGGUAUGAGCAACUGCUAACACACUAAUUAAAUCCAUAGAUCCUUGAGAUAUUGAGGUGCUUGUACUGACUUGAGAAGCACUAUUUCCAGGACCUUGAUCAAUUUUAAGUGAAUCAGGUUAAGAUGCACUUAAUAACUUAGAAUGCACCUGCAGUUGGUGAUGGUUGGGAGCAACGGCAGCAGGCUGUGUUGUUGUAGCUAUAUGACCUGAAAUAUACGGCGAAACCGGUGGCUUGGGUGGUUCGCUUGGAUCUAUACCAGAUCCAAAACAUAAAGCUUGCCCCUACAUCAUUUGUGUGUUUUGAUUAACUUUAUCAACAGGUUGGCUUCCUGAAGCAGUUGCCUUUCCUUUGCCAAUCGGAUUGCAUAGGCCUGUUGUGAAUUUGAGGCAUGGUUUUGUAUAUGUUGUACUGAUGCUUAGGUCAUGUACUUUGGUCAUUGUAUUGUGUAUGUCAGCAUGUGAGUUGGUUUUUGGUUGUAAUGGGAAGGGAUAAGGUUUAUGUGUUUUGGUUAUAAUAAUUUAUGUAAUACAGUUUUGGCUUUUGAAAUGAACAUGGUUUGUAUUACCUUGUGUAUGGAAGUGUAAGAAAUAUUGGAUUAAUACUGUAAUGAUCAAUCUUCAAAAAAACAAUGAAUGCUUAUGGUUUAAAAAGAUUUGAAAAGGAACAUGAAAAUGACUAAAAUGUUUUUUUUAGCUAAAGGGUUGACCUUGGUCAACCGGUUGACCAAAAGGUCCACGGUUGACAAAAGUCAACACCUCAUUAUCAUUUCCGAAUUUUAUAGCUUUUCAUGUAAUGAACAAUGGAAUGUAACCUAAUAGCUAAUUGCAUGAGAUAUUUGUAAAUGAAGGAAUUUGGUAUGAACUUGGAAUGUAUGAUUUGUUAUGCAUAUGAUGCAAAAAUAAAAAAUGAAAUUAAUUCUAUGAAAAUUUAAAUAUGCCCGGACAAAAUUGGGGUAGGACAGCUGCCCCUAUUUAAUUAACUUGAACUGGAAGGUAGGAAUGACAACAGUCUUCCUUCAUUCGUGGUGGAAGGUAAUUAAAUACGAAAAGACCCAAAUUUUGUCCUUUGAAAUGCAAUGGAUAUAUGCAGAAAGAAAAUGCAAUGGAUUCUAACAGCACCAAGGUAAUAGGGGUAGAACGCUAGAUCAAUGCCAACCCUCGAGUUGACAUUCAAAUCUUGCAAAGGUUGUUAUUGAUGUAAAGACGAAAUUGAACAUGUUUUCUUCCAUCAAAAGGAUGACAGUGGAAUUAAUUGCUACCAUCAAAAGGAUGAUAAUAGUUCGCCAUGAUUUCUAGGAUCGUCAUCACCAAAAGGAUGAUGGAUAAGCUGAGCUUCAAAGGUAGUCAUCACCAAAAGGAUGAUGGUUACAGUGGUUACAACAAAGAUCGCCAUCACCAAAAGGAUGAUGGUAAGAUCAACAACAAAUCUCGUUAUCACGAAAAGGAUGAAAGUUAGACAUAUUCCAAAAGAUUUCCAUCACCAAAAGGAUGAUGUCCGUCACCAAAAAGAUGAUGGUUAUUUUGAUAAAGUUUCCUACUACAGAGAGUAUAACAUCAAGGCUACCACCAAAAGGAUGAUAGUUAACUCAUCAACUUCAAAGAUCACCGUCACCAAAAGGAUGAGGAUAAUAUCCAACAACAAAACUUGUAUUCACCAAAAGGAUGACAAUAAGUCAACGAUCACCAAUGAUCACCAUCACCAAAAGGAUGAAGGUAAGAUACAAGAUAAAACUUGUUACCACCAAAAGGAUGAUAAUAAGUCAAAACAAUCACCAUCACCAAAAGGAUGAAGGUAUAAUUAAAACAAAACUUGUUACCACCAAAAGGAUGAUAAUAAGUCACACAACUCAAAGGAUCCCCAUCACCAAAAGGAUGAAGGUAAGAUCAAAAUAAAACCUUGUUAUCACCAAAAGGAUGAUAAUAAGUCAACAAUCACCAUCACCAAAAGGAUGAAGGUAUAAUUAAAAGACAAAACUUGUUAUCGCCAAAAGGACGAUAAUAAGUCGACAAUCACCAUCUGUUAUCACCAAAAGGAUGAUAAUAAGUCAACAAUCACCAUCACCAAAAGGAUGAAGGUAUAAUUAAAAGACAAAACUUGUUAUCGCCAAAAGGACGAUAAUAAGUCGACAAUCACCAUCACCAAAAGAAUGAAGGUAAGGUCAAACGACAAAACUUAUUACCACCAAAAGGAUGAUAAUAAGCACACAACGCAAUUGAUCACCAUCACCAAAAGGAUGAAGGUAAGAUCAAGACAAAAACUUGUUAGCACCAAAAGGAUGAUAAUAAGUCAACAAUCACGAUCACCAAAAGGAUGAAGGUAUAAUUAAAAGACAAAACCUGUUAUCGCCAAAAGGACGAUAAUAAGUCAAAAUAGACUGAAAUGAUCACCAUCACCAAAAGGAUGAAGGUAACGUCAAACGACAAAACUUGUUACCACCAAAAGGAUGAUAAUAAGUCAAUAACCUUAAAUAUCACUGACACCAAAAGGAUGACAGUAAGAUCAAACAAACCGAACUUGUUAUCACCAAAAGGAUGAUAAUAAGGAUAGAACUUCAAAACUUGUUAUCACCAAAAGGAUGAUAAUAAGCUGAAACAGACUCAAUGAUCGCCAUCACCAAAAGGAUGAGGGUAAGAUCAAAACAAAACUCGUUAUCACCAAAAGGAUGAUAAUGAGUCCAUUACUCACAUGGUCACCGUCACCGAAAGGAUGAAGGUAGGAUUAAACAACAAAACUCAUUACCACCAAAAGGAUGAUAAUAAGUCAAUAACCUUUACGGAUCACCGUCACCAAAAGGAUGAAGGUAGGAUCGAACAACAAAACUUGUUAUCACCAAAAGGAUGAUAAUAAGUCGACAAUUACCAUCACCAAAAGGAUGAAGGUACUACAAACAACAGAACUCGUUAUCACCAAAAGGAUGAUAAUAAAUCAACAAUCACCAUCACCAAAAGGAUGAACAUGAGAUCAUAACUUCAAAACUUGUUACCAUCAAAAGGAUGAUAAUAAGUUAUAAUAACUUCAAAUAUUGCUGACACCAAAAGGAUGGCAGUGGGGUUGGUCUUUCCAAAUGUCACCAUUACCAAAAGGAUGACAUUUUAAACCAAACUCCAUAAUCUCUAUCACCAAAAGGAUGAUACUUAGAUUGAACUGGACGUCAUCACCAAAAGGAUGAUGGUUGAACCGAAAUGACAAGGAUCCUUAUCACCAUAAGGAUCGCUGACACCAAAAGGAUGACGGUAGGCUGUAAUAAUUGCAGAGGUCAUCAUUCACCAAAAGGGUGAAGGUUGGACCAAAACUCCAAGGAUCUUCGACACCAAAAGGAUGACAGUAAGAUCACAAAUGUCAAGGAUUUACCAUUACCAAAAGGAUAACGGUUAUUGUAAACAGGACGAUGAUCAAUAUUAUUCUUCAAUGGACUUUCACCAAGAGAAUGAUAGUGAGAAAAAUAUUGGAAAAAAAAGGCUACUGACAAAGUUCAGUAAACCUGACUUGUUGGGUAGUAUUGGAACAUUACCGUGUAAGACUUACUUGGGGUAUCAACAACAAAAGGUUGCAAAACCAAUAUUCUCUAGGGAGAUGUAGUUUCUGUCAACAAAAGGUUACAAGAAACAACUCAUUGUAGGGUACCAAAUGGAAUUCUCCUUGAAAGGAAACCUUAGGAGUGAUUAUCCCAUGACAUGGUUUGAGUUUGUUUUCCCGAGUUUUUAUAUCUUGCUAUGGUCUGCCCCGGAUUAGCCUUUGAGGGACUUACCCUAGACGGACUGAGUAUUGAAGUGUUUUUCCUCCUUGAUCAACCGAUGCUUGGAGAUUUGUCUUAUACUGACUACUUCUUAAGUCAAUAUAAUCAAAAAGACACCAUGCCCCUGAUUCAUAGGAUUAUGAGAUGGUCUCGAUUCGUGUCAGCACCAACGAUCAAGUGCCCCUUGAAUUGCCCCUUGUUGGAAUUUUCUCGAUGUCAAGUACCGAUUGACAAUUAAGAAUUGUUAUCCAAAAAAUGGUGAUUUUAAUGCAAUAGUUAUGCAAGUUUUGAAAAACAAUCAUUCAUUUGGAGUGUCGUGGUAGUGUGUGGCGAAUGGACCAUGAGUCCAAACGCGGUGCUGAUUUUAGCUAGUGUGUGAGUGAUAUAGUGAGAAGAGAAUAUUAGCAAAUCUCUAGGAGUCAGUUUACUCAACCUUGCUGUAGUAUGCUUUCAGAAAAACCUUACUUCAAUUAGGUCUUUUGAAGGUUGUAACAUGGCUUGGUUCAUGGUUAUUGAAACAAAAGGAUAUAAGGCUCAAAGUUUAUUUUAACCCACCCCUUCUUCAUGAUGAUCUCCAAUCAUACGUUCAGUUAAUUCACACACAUUCGUUUUUUGUAGGUGUAAGGAUAAAGAUGGUGAUUCAAGGUCUCUUAGAAUGACAACCACCUUAUUUCAUUUUUUGGAUGUCGGUGACCCUUUGAUUUUGGUAUGGUGGUCACUGAAUCUUGUUUUGUUUUGUUGGAGACUUUCAUUGUCUCUUUCGAUUUUUGUUUUGAUCCCUAACUUUUGUUAUGGUGGUCACUGAAUCUUGUUUUGUUUUGUUGGAGACUUUCAUUGUCUCUUUCGAUUUUUGUUUUGAUCCCUAACUUUUGCAUGGACCGCUUUGUUUGAAGCUUUAAUCCAUCGGGAUUGCCCUUGUUUUUGCCUAAGUCCCUUUUUAAGGUGUUUGACUUAGCGGGCUCUUUCUUUGAUUGAUUUUUUUUGGAAAUUGUGACUGCCAAGUCAUUGGUCAUUGAAGAACAACAGACCUAAAUCUUUGAUUUGUAUGGUUUCUUCGACACUUCAAGAUGUGUGCGAAGAAUAUAAUGUGAUUGAUCCUUUUAUGGGAUAUUUCAUCUUGUAAUUCGAAAGUGUAGUUAGACCAACUGAACACUACCCUGCCCCAGUUAAGCGUAAGGGUUUUUUAGAUCUGAAAGAAACUCCUACUUCUAGGCUCGAAGUGGUUGACUAGGGAUUAACUCCUUAUCUCUCCAGUGUUUAGGGAUUUGAAACAAUUCCUGUACAUCAUUAGCAGGAUUUUAUCCGAAAGCAUUCGAUCAGCAAUUAUGAGUAUUUUGUUUUCGUCAUUCUCCUUCCAACAUUUGCUAACAAUAGUGUGAUAAAAAAGGUGAAGUGGAAAAGUAUGUGUUUGUGAUUUGCAAAUGUGAUAAUAUGGGUGAAUAUGAAAGGUUGAUUCAAAGCAUGCAUAAUCAUCCCAUUAAUAAGACCAAAUACAAAUAACAAUGUUUAAAGCAUACAAUACUUAAACAACCAAGAAUAAAUUACAAAAGUGCGAAACUGUAAAAAUGGCAUAAUGAUUGCCUUCAUUCAGAGCAACAGGACUUCAUCUCUUGAUUCACUGGCGGAAUUGCUCUGCUUGUUCAGGCCGGUGGGAAGCUUUACCUUCGAGCUUCACUCGACUCUGCAUGUGUUGGCAUGGGAUUUGUUGCAACGUUUGGCCUAACUGGCGUGAAGGUGACUGCCUUACUGUCAAUCAGGUCCUGGAAUUUGUAUUUGAAAGCCUUACAGUUCUCUAUUGUGUGCCCUGGGGCACCCAUGUGAUACUCGCAGUGAGCGUUGGCAUCAUAGCCCGGAGGAUAGGGUGGAGUUGUAGGUGUUAGCUCCUUCAAAACAACCGAUCCAUCCUUUAGCAGAUAGGGGAGGAUCUUGCUGUAUGGUACUGGAAAAUGAUCGAAAUGUCUUUAUGGCCUCCUUGCUCUCUGCUGAUUAGGUUGACGUGGUUGUGGAGCACGUUGUUGUUGAUUCUGAUGUUGUUGUUGGUAAGCCGACUGUUGAUAAGGUUGUUGAUAGGGUUGCUGAUAGGGUUGCUGAUAUGGUGUGGGGAUGGCAGCGGCAACCUGAUGAUAUGGCAUAGGAGCAUAUGGAGGCGUCCUAUAUCCUCCUCUCAUUACAACAUUGGUCUGACCUUCUGGCUUCUUCGGAGGAUUAGGAUGAGGUUUCUUCAUUCCACUUGAAGCAUUAGCAGCACAUGUAGCUUUCCCUUCUUGAUCUGGCUUUCAAUUCGUUCUCCCUCAGAGACAACCUCAGCAAAAGUUAGGAAACUGGAUCCUACCAUUUUCCCUAUGUAUUGGGUAUGCAGAGUUCCCAUAAACAUAUCAAUUAGUUCCUUGUCGAGGAGAGGAGGUUGGACACGAGCUGCCAGCUCUCUCCACCGUUGGGCGUAUUCCUUGAAUGACUCGUUGUUGCCUUGAUUCAUGUCUUGUAGCUGUGUGCGAUUGGGUGCUAGAUCAGUGUUGUACUGAUAAUGCCUAAGGAAGGCUUCAGCGAGAUCUCUCCAUGAUUGGACCUGACCUCUCUCUAGUUGCAUGUACCACCCCAAGGAUGCCCCACUGAGGCUAUCUAGGAAGUAAUGAAUCAAGAGUUGAUAAUUACUGAUGUGGGCAGCCAUUUUGCGACAAUAGGCUCUGAGGUGAGUUCUCGGGCAGCUGAUCCCUUUGUAUUUGUCAAAGUCCGGGACUUUGAAUUUUUGUGGAAUCACGAGUCCUGGUACCAGGCACAUGUCAACAGCGUCCAAACCGGGAGUAGUGUGAACCUCCAAGGACUUAAACUUCUCUUCCAGAGCAUGGAGUCUCUCAGCAGCUGGGUCUGGGAUACCUCCAACAGUAGGUUAGGCUGGUUGUGGCAUGAAUAAGGCGUCCUAUGGAUCUUCAUCACCCAUGAUGGAUCCAUGGCGAGCAGAUGUAACAGAGUGCUCAUGGGGGUUCAUGUUGACCAUGGGAAUAGGAAUAGGGAUCGGUCUUCCUAUAGGCUGAUUAGGGUUACCAUCAAGGUCAAUCACUCCAGGGAUACUGAGCGAUGGUGAUCCAAACUGGGCAGCAACUUUCCUGGCUUCAGCGUUAGUCUCAACAUCCUUCUCCUUCUGGGCCAAGAGUAACAUGGAUUCCAACAAGCGAUCCAUCUUUGCCUGCAUGGGUCAAUGUCGGUCCUCAUUGAAACUUGAUUUGCGUCAAGCUGUUUGAGUGUCAUCUUGUAGUUGCGGCGUAUUUCAUACCGGUGUCGAGUAGUCAGCGUUACUGGACAAGGGUAGAGUAUGGUGUAAGUUUUUGUUUCUAGAAGAUGAUAUGCAACGCAUGUUUAUGAUAUGAAAAUGCAUGAAGUUUCGCCAUGCUUUCCAUAAAGGAAUACAGACUCCAAAUUAUCCACACGUCGGGUAUAUCAGGAUAAUAGGAAGAAGCACGGGUUUCUCUGAUCACAAGAAAUUCCCAAAGGUAGGUACUAAAGUUAUGUUUUCAAGGAAGGAACUUAGACUCACGGAUCAAGUUCAAAACUUCCUCACAAUGGUGGGCUAGCCACAUCGUGAUGGGAGUUCUGAAAUGAUCUAAUCUAAGUGGGAUUCUCGUAUUGUUCGAACAUGGUGUAGACCCUUCGAUUCAAUACUACAUAAUCGCCAAUCAUGAAAACAAAACUUGGGUUUAAGGAGAGGUCCCUAGAGUCACGGAUCGUAUUUAGAACCUCCCCACAAUGAUGGGCUAGCCAUAUUGUGAUGGAAACUCCAAACAAAUCUACUCUAGGUGGAGUCUUCGUAUUGUCCCAAUGAGGUGUACACCCCUCGGUUCAAUACUACACAACUCCGGGUUCUAAGUUCUUCUCGAAGCUCGGGUAUGAAGCUUAUCUCACAGCAUACACCAAGUCCCAUAUCAAAGUAUCAACAUAUUACAUACAACAACAUAAUAAAAUACAGAGAAACAAGCACGGAAGAUAAGAACAUCUUCUAACAGUCAUAGAAAAAUAAGACUAAGUUAGGUUAGACUCUUUCUUGCUUGGAGCAGGGUCCCCAGCAGAAUCGCCAGUCUGUCGCACCUCGAAAAUGAUAAUGCGAUCCCUCGCGAUAGGAUGCGGAAAAAUGUUGUUCGAAACAGAUACUGGAUAGAAAACCACGGAAGAGUAACCGUCAUCAAUUAGGAUGAACAAAAGGUUAACUCUGCAAAGGGGAGAAAAUAGGGUUUACAACUACCAGUAUAAGGGUAGAAAACCACGGAAUCCGCCGAGGAUAAGAUGAAUGAUUACUGAUUACUGAGAAAUUAUUCAUUUAUACCACGGGGAAGCACAGGAAACAGAUCACAAGAAACAUAUUUAGGAUCAAACUAAAGAGGCCAACUGAGUCAAGACUCGUCCUAGUGAGGAUAUAAUUCAAUAGGGAAUCCCAUCCCAGAAUAUGUGUUGGGAGGAAGCAAAAACAACCGUCGUCCACGAGGAUAUAACUCGGUGGGUGUCGCUCCCCAGGAUUUCCCGAAUCCAGGUACAAACGCAAAGAAGAGUGGCGAGAAACAAAAAGGGUAGAGUCGCCAGCUAUGUACUUUUAUCCCAAUGGGAGGGAAAGGUAGUACUGCAUAACCUAGAGGGAAUGGAUAAAACGAAGUCUCGAACCAAAGAAACUGAGUAAGGGGGCCGGUUACGUGAAGGGAAGGUUAUCGCACCCCUUCACGUCUGUGGUACUCCACAGGAUCCACGAUUGCUAUUUAUGUCUAAAGUGUGUAUAAAAAUCCUAUAUGCAAUGCAAAGGAGAGAAAAUCAAAGUAGGGAAAAUAAAGAGUUAUUGCUCGCACAUGCCCUACCCUACUGCAUACGUAUCUCAAGAAGGAUUGAGAAUCAGAGCACCGUAGCUCGGCUAACCUACUUUUGUUUUUUUUGUGUUUUUUAAGUGAACGACGCUACUACGCAAUCUACCGGAUGCUCGACCUUGGGAGACUUACUCGCCUGUAGUAGAAGGAGUCAACGUGUCCUUAAGAGAUGAUAGAGUUUGCUUGUGUUUUAGGAAUGCUCAUGCAAGAAAGGAAGUCCUAGACGAAGGAACCGUGCUACCUUAAUUGACAUGCAAACGAGAGACUAUACGAAGUCUAGCAAUCCUAUGGGGAGACUAUAAGCCAAGUUCUCUUUAGAGAACAACAAAAACUGGAAACAGAAUGCCAAUCAAUGGUCUUACAUCCAACUCCACACAACAAACAGGAAACAGGAAUGCCAACGGCUGGACUUACAUCUAACUCCUGAACAACAAAAUAAACGGAAACGGAAUGCCAAUCAAUGGUCUUAUAUCCAACUCCACAAAACAGAUAGGAAACAGAAAGCCAAUCAAUGGUCUUACAUCUAACUCCUAAAACAAUCAAGCAACAAAUGCAAACACACAAAAAUGCAAUCAUCACACUCUAUAUACAAACAAGAGGCUCAGACAAAAGGUUAGGCUUUAGUCAAGGGGUCAUAUCAACCUCGACAAACAAGCCAAAACUAUAGGGGUGUUCUGAAGCUCUUAACCACUAACAUUGAGAGUUAGGGUGAAGCUGAUGAAAGGUACUGAGGAUUAGACCCCAUGCUCUUAACCCUGGCCUAGGUGAGCUUGAAUCAAAGAAGGUGUGGGGAUCCAGAAUGAGGGACCCUAUUCCACUUGACUGACUCUAUACAAGAUCUGUUGUGUUUAUUCAAAAGUAUCAGCACGUAGUGCGAGCAUAAUGAAAGACUCAACUAAAUAACAGUGGAUUGAUUGCAAACUCCCUUCUAUCUGUCAAUUGCCUCUUCACUUAGGAGGACUUAACAAGUAACAUGCCUCAUUUAGAGGUCUUUAGCACAAAUGUAAACAAUCACAAUCAUGGCCUCUUAAGGAGGACUUCAGCCAAAUGCCUACCAAAAAGGUGGCAGGAAUUCCAGACUACAUGGAGAAAGAGAGUGGUUACCUAAGUGGUAUACCAACCACACUCCAAAGCAAAGCUCAAGCAAGAGCUAAAAGCGACUAAUGUACCUGUACAAAAGCCAAACAUUCAAUAUCUCAGACAGAAAAAAAAACAGACAACAAUACUGGAACUUUAGAAUAUCUACACAAUGCAAGUCACAAAUGCAAGCACUCAAGUGAGUUCAUCACAUCAAUGGACCUACAACACAACAAGAGUUAGUGAUCAAAGCAAAUGGCAUCUCAAAUGAUGAGGCCACACCAAUCAUUAGUGCUAAAUACCUGAAACACAAACACAAUUGGUGAGUACAAACCACUAGUACAAAGACUAGGGUCAAAGGCAAGUCAAAUGACUCAAAGCAAAUGGCAUCUCAAAUGAUGAGGCCACACCAAUCAUUAGUGCUAAAUACCUGAAACACAAACACAAUUGGUGAGUACAAACCACUAGUACAAAGACUAGGGUCAAAGGCAAGUCAAAUGACAAAAACAGAAGUCAACAUUUCUCAUGAAGCACAAUCAUUCAAACAAGAAAUAGUCCUCAAAAGGACCAAAGCCAAUUCAUAGGGAAAAGCCAUCACAUGAACAAAAUAAGGCAAAGGCAAGCAAUGUGAUCAAGAUUGGACAUCAAGAAUAGAAAAUCCACAUUAAAACAGAAAUGUGUCCAAUGAUCAUGAAAAAUUUUAAGUGAACAUAAUAUGUUAUGGACAAAUAUCAUACCAAAAAUUAUAUCCAGAAGCAAACAAAUGGUGUAUGAAUGAAAAUGCACAAGUACAAAGCACAACAUGUUACACCAAAUGUCACAACAUAUGUCCAUGUGUCCAAAACAGUGAUAUUAAAUGAUAAAAAUGCCAAACAAAAGCCAAAACAUCAUGUUACAUGUUGUGAUCAGGCAUGUCAAAUUUCAAGGCAAUUGGAUAAACCAUGAGCAUUUCACAAAUCAAUUAGCACAACAUAGCAAAUUGGCAUCAUGUUCAAACAAUCAAACACAAUUAAAAAUCCAGCAACACAAAAAUCAGGAAAUAAAUGCCAAAAAAAUUAGACAUUAACACAAGCAUGUGGAGAAAAGUUUGGAUUAAUUUGGACAUGUAUACUAUUUUUAGUGAUUUUUUGAAGUUGAAGAAAAAAAAUGAAAUAAUGUGGAAAGCAUGUGGAAAAUGAAAUGUGAAUUAAAAUAGAAACAUGCAUAUGCCAGAUUCGAACACAGGUGAAGCAAGUCAAAUGAGCGCUCAACAUGAAAAUCAAUUGGAAAAUCAAAACAUCAUACGCAGGGAAUCGAACAGAGGCUUGGCAAGGCGGAUAAGAAAACAACAAUGCAAUUUCAGAAAUACAUGGCAAGGUAUCGAACAGAGGCGCACAAGGUCAUAAGCGCUAUCAAAACGCAGCGUUCCAAUCAAAGAAAACAAAUGGAAUUAAAAAACGCAUGCGGCAAGGUUCGAACAGAGGACAGCAAGGUCACAGCGCGCGUGAAGCAAAAACCCUAAGGUUGAACCAGACGGUCGGGAUAGUGAUUCCGGUCGUCUUCUCCGGUGGUUCUCCGGCAACCUUCAUCAUUUUUUUUCCAGAAAUGGACGUGCUAUACACCAUUGGAAAGGUCUUUUUACGUAGAACACAAAUAUCACAAUUAUUUAGCCUAAUUCCUAACGAAUCAACUGGAUCGAAGAGAAACAUUUUGCAUAUCAAAACUUCAUAUCAUCAUAUCUCACUCAAUACUUAACCAAAUUCAAAACAAUUUAUAUCAGCAUCAUCAGUGAAUCAAGCUCUACAAGAUUAUAUACAUGAAAAGGCAAAUAAUGAGGAUCGAAUUUCAAGCUUACUUGAUGUGUAGUGUUCAAAUCCACGUGUUCAAGGCUCCAGAACUUCCAGAUCCACUCCAGUAAUCUUGAUUUGGAGCUUUAUGCACAAAAUAGCAAUUGAAAUCCACCAGAUCUAGCUUAAUUUGAAGCUUCCAUGUUCAUCUUCAAGCUUUGGAUAUGCACGAUUCUGUACCAAAUUCUUCAAUCCAAACCUUGAUUCUUCAUCAAUGAUACAUGCUGAACACGAUUAUGCAAGAGUUUUGUGGAAUUGGAUGAAGAAAUCUGAAAUUUGAAGAGAGAGAAAAUUGAGAGGGAAAUGAAAUUUUUGAUCUAAAUUCUGUUAUUCUCUCAAUUGUGAUUAGGAUUUAGCUUUUAUAUGGUCCCUUAAUCAUGCUGUAAUUAAGAUUAGGCAUUGGUUAAAUGAAAAUUAAGGAGAAAUAAGGUGAAUGGCAAAUAUGCAAAUGUGAGGUGGCAUGAGCAAUGUGCACGUGGACAGUGCCAUGCAAGGUGCAAUUUCACUUAAAAUCAUCCAAUGAACAUGAUGGAAUUGGAAUUAGGCUUGUAUGAUUCACCAAUUUUGAAUUACCAACUUUCCCUCCAAAAUGCACUUGAAUGAACACUUGAUCAUGUGAGCUUCUUUCAUGCAAAGCAAUGGUUGAUUUGGAAAAUAUUGGUCACAAGGAGCAUGUUGCAAAAAGAGUGGACCACUUUGGAGUUUUGAGUCAAAAGUUAUGCCAUUUUUGGAAAAUCAAGUUGAAUAUGGUCCAAAAACUUGCCAUUUUUGGAAACUUUCAAUUACAGGUCACUUUCCAUUUUUGGAAACUUUUGAUUUGACUUCAAAAUCUUCAAGGUAGGUGUUUGCCAUGAUGAAUAAACCUUGUUUGAACAUGAUUGAGAUACUUCCACUCACUUCCUCAUCUCAAAGCCCCUAGUUGACUGCACAGUUGACUUUUAUGGUCCUUAGAUGACCUGGAAAUGUACUGAUGAAUUUGGGCCUCUACCUCUUGGUAAAAUUGCUUCAAAAUGAGCCCUAGCUCAUAUAAGCUCUUUAGAAUAAUCAUGUAGCCUUCAUCUCAAGGAAAUACUUGCUCUUAUGCACUGAGGAUUCUCUUGAUGCCAAUUCUGACUGAUAUGAUGCAAUGCAACAUGGAAUGAUAAAUGUCCUAAAAAAUGAAAUGAAUGCAUGAGUGGGGGAGGGAAAAUUUGAGGUGCUACAGUGGGGAAUGUGGAAAGAAAGAUAAACACUUUCUGCUUAAGGAGCUGACUCUUCAUGGGGAGAUCAGACACCGACAUCUGCUUGGGAAAUGUAUUACCAACUAGCAGGGGAUAACAAACAAAGAUAUAUGGCAAAGAAUGUAAUCAUGAAUAUCUGAAUGUUUGAAAAGUAUAUGCACACAUGCGUGGUUUAUGUAUGAUGAAUGCUGACAAACAAACAUUUCUAACACAAACAGCUCCAUAGAAAAAGUACACAAACACCCGGUACUACAUCUCGAGAGAGAAAGCCAGGUUCACCGGAAAGUAUCCAAUAUGAUGAGGGCAAGAGAAAACAGGAAGCAAAGAUCCCUACAGGGGAUGAACAUCAGUCAUUCCAGCUGGGGACAAGAGUUAUUGCACAGAUAAAAAUUUGCCGCAUAAGCAACUCCACUGGGGAAUCUAUCCAAGGGAUAAAGGAAUUCUGGGGAUCAAACACCAAGUACCGUACUCACCAAGGAGAUCACCUCUACUGAGGAGGAAAGGUCGCUACUCUGCUGAAGGGAAGAGUGGUGGAUAUCUCACCAAGCACUCCAACCUGUGGGAAAACCACAAAAGGCUCCGGAGGAAGAAGAUACAGUCAUGACAGGCAUAUGAACAAAUGUCUUACCCUGCUAGGGAUCAUACCAUCCUUGGGAAAGCACUGAAGAUCUCCUAAGUAUCCUUUCGUCAUUGUGAAUGUUCACUUUGUUUAAAACAAGUUAUGAUUAUUCAAAAUAAUGAUAUUUUCUCAAUUAAAGCAUGCAAAACGUUUGUUGAAUAGAAACAAAUAAGAGUGCAAAUAAUUGGAUAAAAGGCUCAAAUUUAUUAGAUGGAAUGGUAGUCUGCAAAUGGGAAGACUCCAUAGAUCUUUACAAGUUUGAAAUUGGUGACAUAUAUUGGAAAAGGGCUACAUUGAACAUAAUGACCAUUUCUCCACCAAUUCUGAAUCCGAUGUAUUUGAAGCUUCGGUUGAUGACGAAUGAGCAAGAAUCUCUGACGGAUGAUAGUUAUAGAACAAAGACUUGUCAGGAUGCAGUUACUUGCCAAAUCCCUAAUUUUUGCCUAGAUUGCCCCAGGAUGGGGUACUCAAUCUAGCGGGAUACAUAUAUUCAUUUUUAUGUCUCUAACUUUUGCCUGGACCGCCCUUUCGGGUUUUCAAUCCACCGAGACGCUCAUUUUGCCUAAUCCGCCUUUCGGGUUUUCAACUUAGCGAGCUAUUCUGUUUUAUUUUUAGGCGAAGUAUUUCUUGACUGCAUCUGAAUUCACAGGACGAGUGAAAUCCUCCCCAUCCAUAGUUGUCAGUAUCAAAGCACCGCCUGAAAAGGCUUUCUUAACAACAUAUGGACCUUCAUAGUUUGGAGUCCACUUGCCCCUGGAAUCGGGCGCGAAAGACAAGACUUUCUUGAGCACGAGGUCACUCCUCGGAACACACGAGGCUUGACAUUCUUAUCAAAGCUUUCUUCAUUCUUUGCUAAUACAAUUGACCAUGGCACAUGGCAGUCAAUCUUUUCUCUUCUAUCAAGUUCAAUUGGUCAUAACGACUCUGAACCCAUUCAGCGUCAGUCAACUUGGCUUCCAUCAAGACUCUCAUUGAUGGGAUCUCCACCUCUACUAGGAGUACAACCUCCAUGCCAUAAAGAAGAGAGAAAGGGGUUUCCCCUGUUGAAGUGCGGACAGGUGUACGAUAUCCGUGUAAGGCAAAUGGCAGCAUCUCAUGCCAAUCCUUGUACGUGACAACCAUCUUUUGGAUAAUCUUCUUGAUAUUCUUAUUAGCAGCUUCAACAUCCCCAUUCAUCUUGGGUCUAUAGGGAGAAGAAUUAUGGUGUGUGAUAUUGAACUCACUACACAGCUCUUUCAUCAUCUUGUUGUUCAAGUUAGAUCCAUUAUCAGUAAUGAUCUUAUCUGGCACACCAUAACGAAAUAUGAGUUGAUUCUUGAUAAACUUCACGACCAUUUGCCUGGUCACAUUUACAUAUGAUGUUGCUUCAACCCACUUGGUAAAGUAAUCAUUCGCUACGAGAAUAAAUUUGUGUCCAUUAGACGCUUUCGGUUCUAUCAUGCCAAUCAUGUCAAUUCCCCACAUAGAGAAAGGCCAUGGUGAUGAGAUCACAUUCAGAAGUGUCAGAGGAAUAUGAAUUUUAUCCGCAUAGAUCUGACACUUAUGGCAUUUCUUCACAUAUUCAUGCCAAUCAUGUCAAUUCCCCACAUAGAGAAAGGCCAUGGUGAUGAGAUCACAUUCAGAAGUGUCAGAGGAAUAUGAAUUUUAUCCGCAUAGAUCUGACACUUAUGGCAUUUCUUCACAUAUUUGUAGCAGUCGGACUCCAUUGUCAGCCAAUAGUAGCCUGCUCUUAACAUCUUUCUAGCCAUGGCAUGUCCAUUGGAAUGAGUACCAAAUGAACCCUCGUGGAUCUCAGUCAUCAACAGGUCUACUUCGUGUCUAUCCACGCAUCUGAGUAGAACCAUGUCAAAAUUUCUCUUGUAAAGCACAUCACCAUUGAGGUAGAAACUGCUUGAUAAUCUCCUUAGAGUCUUCCUGUGUUUCACAGAUGCCCCAAGCGGGUAAAUCUGGUUUUGAAGGAAACACUUGAUGUCAUAAUACCAUGGCUUAUCAUCUUUCGUUUCUUCUACUGCAAAUACAUAAGCUGGUCUGUCCAAGCGCAUCACGGUGAUGUUGGGGACUUCAUUCCAAAGUUUAACCAUAAUCAUCGAAGCAAGUGUAGCAAGAGCGUCUUCCAUCCGAUUCUCAUCUCGAGGAAUAUGAUGGAAGUCAACCUCAGUAAAGUACGUUAAGAUCCUCCUCGCAUAAUCCCUUUAUGGGAUGAGACUAGGCUGAUUCGUUUCCCAUUCACCCUUAAUCUGAUUAACAACGAGGGUCGAAUCACCAUAAACAUCGAGGUGUUUGAUCCUAAGAUCAAUGCACUCUUCCAAUCCCAUAAUAAAAGCUUCGUACUCAGCCAUAUUAUUCAUGCAUUUGAAAGUUAGCCUUGCUGUAAAAGGAAAAUAUGUGCCCUGAGGAGUAAUAAUCACUGCCGCAAUACCAUUUCCGUACUGAUUUACAGCGCCAUCAAACACCAUACUCCAUCUGGAACCAGGUUCUGGCCCUUCAUUAAGUGUAGGUUCAUCACAAUCUUUCAUUUUCAAAUACAGGAUUUCCUCAUCUGGGAAGUCAUACUGAACUGACUGAUAAUCCUCAAUCGGCUGAUAUGACAAGUGGUCAGCCAAGAUACUACCCUUAAUAGCCUUCUAAGCUCGAUACUCAAUAUCAUACUCAGAUGACAACAUUUGCCAACGGGCAAUCCUCUUGUUAAAUCAGGCUUCUCGAAGAUAUACUUGAUUGGAUCCAUUCUGGAUAUCAACCAAGUCGUAUGAUUCAACAUAUACUGGCGUAAGCGCUUAGCAGCCCAAGCCAAAGUGCAACAUGUCUUCUCAAGCAUUGAAUAUCGAGACUCACAAUCGGUGAACUUCUUGCUCAAGUAGUAAAUAGCAUAUUCUUUCUUUCCUGAUUCGUCUUGCUGACCAAGGACACAACCCAUUGAAUCUUCAAGAACAAUCAGAUACAUAAUCAAAGGUCUUCCCUCCACGGGGGGAGACAGGAUCGGAGGCUCAGACAGAUACUCUUUAAUACUGUCGAAAGCUUUCUAGAAAUCCUCGGUCCAAUCAUGGGACUGAUCUUUCCGGAGGAGCUUGAAUAUCGGCGCACAUGUGGCAGUCAUGUGGGAUAUGAAUAUAGAAAUAUAAUUCAAGCGGCCAAGAAAACCUCGGACUUGCUUCUCAGUUUUGGGUGCAGGCAUUUCUUGUAUUACUUUGACCUUUGCAGGAUCAACCUCAAUACCUUUCUCGCUAACAAUAAAGCCCAAUAACUUGCCGGAACGGACUUCAAAUGUACACUUGUUGGGAUUCAGACGGAGCUUAUACUUCCUUAACCGCUGAAAAAGCUUUAACAAGUGCUCUACAUGUUCAACUUCCGUUCUUGACUUGGCAAUCAUAUCAUCAACAUAUACCUCGAUUUCCUUGUGCAUUAUAUCAUGAAACAAGGUGGUCAUAGCUCGGUGAUACGUGGCUCUGGCGUUCUUCAAACUGAAGGGCAUUAAUCGAUAACAGAAUGUUCCCCAAGGUGUGAUGAAUGUUGUUUUCUCCAUAUCCUCGGAUGCCAUUUUAAUCUGAUUAUAUCCGGAAAAUCCGUCCAUAAAUGAGAAGACAUUGAAUUUAGCUGUAUUAUCUACCAACAUAUCAAUAUGUGGUAGAGGGAAAUCGUCUUUCGGGCUAGCUUUAUUCAAGUCCCUAUAGUCCACACACAUCCGGACUUUUCCAUCUUUCUUAGGCACGGGCAUAAUAUUGUUCACCCAUUGAGGAUAUGUAGAAGUCACCAGAAACCCUGCAUCAAUUUGCUUCUGAACCUCCUCUUUGAUCUUCACUGCCAUAUCGAGAUGAGUUCUUCUGAGCUUCUGCUUUACAGGCACGCACUCAGGCUUCAAAGGCAGGAAAUGUUGCACGAUAUCUGUAUCUAGACCCGGCAUGUCUUCAUAUGACCAGGCAAAGACGUCGACAUAUUCUCGUAGCAAUUCAAUCAACCCUUUCUUAACAGAUUCUUCCAGGAGUGCCCCAAACUUCACUUCUCGCACACAAUCUUUAGACCCCAAGUUGACUGUUUCCAGGUUCUCAAGAUGCGGCUGAAUGAUUUUCUCUUCAUGCUCAAGUAGACGGGUGAUCUCGUCAGGAAUCUCUUCAAUAUCAUCUUCUUCCGCCUCAAAUACAGGGAAUUCAAAGCUGGGAGAUGGUGUUGGGUCAUUAUGUUCAAUGGGUUUGAUCAACCUGCAUAAUGAUUUUGGAUUUGAAAAGCUUUAGAAUUCAAACAAUGCAAACCAUUAUGCAGAUGAAAAGAUUGAUUUUAUUCUAUUUUUUAGGUUUUAUGUGAUCACCAAUUUCAUGCAAAAAGCGAAAAGGGAAAAUAAUUGGAAGACAAACAUUUAACAUGAAUCUAUUGAAUGAAAAUAUCAUUGUAUUUAUGUGCCAUCAAUGUCAUCACUCCUCCUUUGGCAUGGGAGGAGGGUUUUUAAACACAAUGAGCAUUACUUUGACUUAUGGAUAACUGUUGGAAUAUCCACAACGACCCAAUUAUUGUAGAUUCCCCCAGGGAUGACGAAGUUGCCAGAAUCCUCUUCGUCCUCUUCCAAGAUGGCAGCAACCUCUUCGCCUUGAUUGGUGUGGAUGAACCCUCCACUAUUGAACAGCCCUCGCGUGUUAGAAACCCCAGAAGAAUAACCUAUGCCAGCCCGAGACUUGUUGUCUUCUAGCUCAAUCAUCUUCCCUAAUCCAGCGGUUGCGCCACGCUCAAUGGCCAACUUUGCAUCUUUGUAGGAAGCAAAUGAAGGAGUUCUCUUCUCAAUAGGUUCAAUAAUAGAUAAAGCUUAGAAAGGAGUUCCAACUUCAUCCUCAGCAUCUAUAUAUGAGAAAGAAGACAAAUGGCUAACCAGGAGAGCCUUUUCUCCCCCUACCACCACCAGCUUCUUAUUCUUCACGAAUUUCAGUUUCUGGUGUUCAGCAUCUAUAUAUGAGAAAGAAGACAAAUGGCUAACCAGGAGAGCCUUUUCUCCCCCUACCACCACCAGCUUCUUAUUCUUCACGAAUUUCAGUUUCUGGUGUAGGGUGGAUGUCACGACGCCUGCUUCGUGAAUCCAUGGUCUGCCUAGGAGACAACUAUACGAUGGGUGAAUGUCCAUGACCUGAAAGGUAAUCUGGAAAUCACCUGGUCCGAUUUUUAUUGGGAGAUCAACUUCCCCAAUCACAGUUUUGCGAGACCCAUCGAAAGCCUUCACAACUACUCCACUCUGCCUCAUGGGAGGCCCUUGAUAUGAUAGUUUCGAAAGAGUGAUUUUUGGCAAUACGUUUAAUGAUGACCCAGUGUCUACCAGCACAUUGGACAUGGCGUCGUCUUUGCAACCAAUAGAUAUAUGUAAUGCCAAGUUGUGGUCUCUUCCCUCCUCGGGGAGAUCAGAGUCACAAAAACUCAAGUUGUUACAAGCAGUAAUGUUUGCAAUAAUGCUAUCGAAUUGUUCUAUUAUGACAUCGUGAUCCACAUGUGCCACAUCCAAAACCUUCUGCAGAGCCUCUCGGUGUGGUUCUGAAUUCAAAAGCAAUGAUAACACCGAUAUUUUGGAUGGCGUUUGUAGAAGCUGGUCUACAAUAUUGUACUCGCUCCUUUUGAUGAGCUUCAGCAUCUCAUCGCAGUCUUCUUUCAUAUUUCCGCUUGGGCCAACAGAAGCAGGAGUUAUCAAUGUAGAGGAGGGCUUAACAACAAGUGCCAGAUUCGGAGUGCUCACAGCAUUUCCAAUCGGGCGUUCAACAGAAUCAGUAUUAGUUUGAGGCUUUGAAGGCGCUGAAAAUACACGACCGCUACGGGUCAGACCGCUAACAUGGGCAAUGUUAACAACAGAUGAAGAUGGCAAGGACACCUCUUUCCCAUUUUCUACUGCGACAGCGCUGUAGCGAUAAGGGACCGCUUUCUCAGAAGAGUAUGGUACUGGUCCGGCUGGCUUGAUGGUUAAUGCGGGAGAAUCCUUCUGCUUGCUACCAUCAUACUUGAUGAUAACAGGCUCGGGGAUCCGAAAUACUGGAGAAAUUACGUUGACCUCAUCAGCAUCUUCGUCAACAUUUCUGUUUUGAAGGAUCUUAAUAACUCCUUCAUCCAGCAUUUCUUGGACAUCUUUGCGCACCUGGCGACAACCUCUUUGAUUGAAAGAACAGACUCGGCAUAUAUCAUGGUCAUGCUCAUAAUGACUAUACUCACAUAGCAAACGAUGCAUCUCGACCAGAGAUUGUCGAAUAUGACUGACAUAUUUGACUUUGUACUUGCCAGGGCAGCCCUGGACCAUAUUGACAGACUUCCUCAUAAUGACUAUACUCACAUAGCAAACGAUGCAUCUCGACCAGAGAUUGUCGAAUAUGACUGACAUAUUUGACUUUGUACUUGCCAGGGCAGCCCUGGACCAUAUUGACAGACUUCCCAUGCUCGGGCAAUGGGUUCUUCUUCACGUUAGGACCUACGUCCUCGAAACACAGAAUGCCACACCUUACAAGGUCUUGAACCUUGGUCUUCAAAGGGUAACAAUUCUCCACGUCAUGGCCGGGAGCACCUGAAUGGUAAACACAGUAUAAUUCGGGCUUAUACCACCACUGGGGGUUAGCAGGUAUAGCCGGUUGGUCUCGCGGAUUAAUCAAUUUUCUCUCUAUCAAAGAGGGAUAUAACUCUUCAUACGUCAUCGGAAUAGGAUCGAAGGUGACCCUUUUCCUCUCGUAACUCGUGCUGGUUUGAUUACUGUUUCGAGGCCGGUAGGCCUGCUGUUGCGGACGGUGCUGUUGAUAUUGUGGAUGUGGUUGCUGAUUAUUGUUGUGUUGCUGGUAUUGUUGAUUAUCUCUGAAGAUAGGUGCUAUAUGAGCCACCUGGUGUUGGUUACCGGCGGGACCCCUGGUCUUCCUCCUCACAGAGGGUCUUCUUGGUUUCACAUGGGAAGUCACAACAUGUGUCUCUCCAUCUUUCUUCUUCGCGAACGACCCAUAUCGUUUGGCAGAAGAGCCUUCUUCUCUGGUCAGACGUCCUUCUCUAACCCCUUCUUCUAGAUGCAUCCCCAUAUUCACCAUCUCGGUGAAGUCAGAAGGAGCGCUAGCAAUCAUCCCCUCAUAAUAAAAAGAACUUAAGGUCUUCAAAAAGAUCUUAGUCAUCUUUUUCUUUUCUAGCGGAGGCACGAUCUAUGCUGCUAACUCUCGCCAUCUUUGGGCGUACUCUUUGAAUGUUUCCUUGUCCUUCUGGGACAUGGCCCUCAAUUGAUCCCUAUCGGGAGCCAUAUCCACAUUGUACUUGUAUUUCUUGACGAAGGCCUCGCCAAGAUCGUUGAAGGAUUGGAUGUUCGCACUAUCUAAACCCAUAUACCAACGCAGAGCAGCACCGGACAGACUGUCCUGAAAGUAGUGGAUGAGCAAUUGGUCAUUGUCGGUCUGAGUUGACAUUUUCCUGGCAUACAUGACCAGGUGGCUGAGAGGGCAAGUAUUCCCCUUGUACUUCUCAAAGUCAGGGACCUUGAAUUUCACAGGGAUCUUCACAUUAGGAACCAAGCAGAGUUCGGCAGCAGACUUGCCAAAAAGAUCCUUUCCUCUAAGAGUUUUCAAUUCCUUGCGAAGCUCAAGAAAUUGGUUGUUCAUAGUAUCCAUCUUCUCAUAGACAUCUGGGCCUUCAGACGGCUCAGAAUGAUAGAUGGUAUCGUCUACUCUGGGCAUAGUAUGCACGACAAGAGGAGGAACAGCAAGGACCGGGCUAGAUGCCGGCAUAGAAGCAAAGGUGGGAGCAAGACCCUCGGGCAUGAAAUUGGGAGGCAUCCCCCACGGGAAUCCGGUUGGCAUGGCCGUUGGAGCAAAGUGUGCACUGGCUGCAGGCAUAGUCGAGGAGACAAUCUUAGAGAUGAUUGUCCUCGGGGGAGGAGUUAAAGGUGUCGGAGAAGACUGACUCUGAGCAGCCAUGAAUGAUUCCAUAAAGGCACUUAAUCUGGCCACUUCCUCUUUCAGCUCGUGGUUUUCUUGUUCCAGAUGAUCCAUCAGUCUUGAAAUGUUGGCUCUGGUAUAGUAUCAGUGAGUCAGCUUGUCUUCAAAAUAAAUGAAGAACACAGAGUUACACCACAAGACAAGAAGUCGGGAACAAAACCUACUUAUGCACAUGAUGCAUGUAAUGUUUGUGCACAUGAUUUGUUUUUUAUUUCAAAGGAACUUUAGGGUUCUAUUUGCAGAUUUUGGAAAUAUUAAACACUCUUAUAUGGAAACAUAAUAUCUGGGAAAUAUUUUAUACCAAAUAAGUACAUCACUGGUAACCAAACAUAAUACAAGAGAGAAGGGAAAUAAACAUCUUAUGGAUCCCUAGAAACAAUCAUCUAAAGCUCCGGACACAGGAAGAUAGGAUGCACGAAGUCUCUUCACCUCCCUCUCGUAGGUUGCUUCCAUAUCUGCCUUCUCCUUGGCGAGUCGGUCAUACUUCCUCUUCCAGAACCUAGAAGACUGAGGAAGUAGGGAAGUCCAUGCAUCAUCAGGAUCAUCAAUAACCUGAUGUUCGAGGAACUCUAUCAAAGCAUCCUUCUCCUUGAUCUGCUGAAGCAACUCCUCUCUUUCACGGAUCCAAGCACGUGAGCGGUCUUCGUCUCUCGACUCCUCUACUCCUUUGUUAGGGAGGAUUGAAGGCCCAGCCAUAACCAAAGGUGUAGGUCUUGGAUACUCGUAAGGCAUGAGAUAAUCAGAUGCUCUCUUUCUAACCCAAGCAGUGUAAGGCUCCAUAGCAACACAAUUCUUAGGACCCAACUCUUUCCUUCCUUUUCUAUGAACCUUGCGCCAAGCGCGGACCAUUCUGCCCUUCAAGCCUUGAGGAUCUUUACCCUCCUGAAAGAACACACCCUCUAACAGAAUGUUAUUAGGUUUAUCCUUUAGGGGGGACCCAAGCUGACGACGUGCCAAAACAGGGUUGUAGUUAAUUUUACCACAUGUACCAAGAAGAGGUACAUUGGAGAAUUCACCACAAGAGUCGAUAAUCUGCACACCAUCAUACACGCGGUUGUACCAAGAGAUAUCAUCAUUAGUAAGAGACAUGAGUCUCGUGGACCACCGUAGACAUCCCUUGUUCUCCUUGAAGGCGACCGUCUGCGGUAAGUGAGAAAUAAACCACUUAUACAACAGGGGAAAACAACACACAAUGGCACCACCACCCUUUGCAUUCCUCAUAUGCAAAGAGAAAUAGGUAUCACCCAACAGAGUCGGAACGGGAUUAAGAGUAGAGAAGAUCCUAAUAGCGUUCACAUCCACAAACUUGUCGAUGUUGGGGAACAACACCACCCAUAGAUGAGAAGUACAAAUAUGGCUUCAAAGCAUCCUCACUCAUGGCCUUCCCAUACAAGUAGCUUGAGCAAUGAGGAACUCAGAAGGGAGACCUUGAAUUCCACCUUUGGUAGUCAUAUGAGCACCAACCAGAGAUUCGUCUAUGUGCAACAUGUCAGCUAUCUCUUGAGAAGUAGGAAUACUCUCCAAGCCACUGAACGGAACUGGUCUAGAAUAGGUAUACCCACAAGGUAGGCAUACUCCUCAAGUGUGGGCAAAAGCUGGAAAUCCGGAAAUGUGAACCGGUACAAGGGAUCAUAAAACUGCACCAAUACACUCAUCAAUCCUUCGUCCACCUGAGUAGUCAGAAGAGGAAGAAGCUUCCCAAAACGAGUCUUGAAACCCAAGGGAUCUAGUACAUAGGAUGUAAGAUUCCUUAACUCUUUCAAAUCUGGUUGUCUAAAACUGUACUUCUUUGUAUUCCUUCUUUGUCUUUCCAUGUCUGAAAAUUUUGCAAAUAAACCCCUUAAGUUCCUUGAAAAUUUUCUUCCUUAUUGAUGAUAUGGAUGCAAAUGGGUGCAUGAAUGCAUGAAUGCAACAAUCACACUCAAGGAUCAAGAAAAGGACACCAAACAAAGGUCAUGGGAUGGAUCAUAUCAUCCUUAAUAUCAAUCAUCCAUUUUGGUGGAUUAUGGUUUACAUCUUAUCAACACACAAGUUCCAUUGAUAUUAAGGAUACAUGAACGGAUCAACCAUGAAUCAAGGGCUUGUUGCAAGUCACGAGCAUGGAGUCUUGGUUAAGAACCACCCAAAGGGAGUGUACUAGGGUUUAAACCUGCCAAACAUGUUCUACAAGAGGUUCCCAUAGUCAUCAUCCCAUCUUUCGGAUAUCAUCGGAUAAACGACUACUCGUAUUCCAAAAAUAUUCUCAAGAGAGACUCUUAUGAGUGUAGUAUCACAUAAUUUGAACGACUUUCGCACUACAUCCUAAGAAUAGGCCAAGAUGGGCUUGGUAAACUAAGGUCCUUGGCUUCUAAGGUCUAUAUUCCUUUCUCAUUACAGAUUGGUGUUGAAUGAACACACUGUAAUAUGAUCCCAACAUGACCUCCACCAAGUGAAUGGAUUUGCAAGUCAACUUGCUAAGGAAUAACUCCACACAAGUCAACAAGACUACCCCAUUCUCCUAUCCUAAGUGCACUCGAGUCCGGGUAUAGAACUCAUCUCACAAAGUUCACCAAGCAUACAAGGAGUUAAUAUUCAAGCAAUUCACUCAUUACAUACAAUACAGUAAUCCCAAAUUGCACAAAAAUAUGUCACAAAACAAUACAAUACAAUACAAAAAAUGUGAAAAGUAGGCAAAACCCACUAGGCAAAGAUGUCCCCAGCAGAGUCGCCACUUUUCUGUAGCGGGGUAUUUGUUACCAUUAGAGAUAUUGACUAAACCCAAGGUAAAUCAUACAAGUCGAGUCGCCACUGCACUUCUAUUUAUCCAAAAGGAAUGGUUAGAAAGCGAACAAAAACCUAAAAGUUUUAACAGAAACUAGUAAAAGAGAAACAUAGAUCUGGGUAAGGGGGUUGGUUAUGCAAUGGGAAGGUGUUAGGCACCCAAAACAUCCUAGGUACUCCUAGGGGGCCCUUUUCACAUUUGUUGUAAAGGUUGUUGUUUUUGUGAAAAAUUUGUUUGUGCAAACACGAUUGAAGAGAUGAGAAAAGAAUAUACAAGUUUAUUUACAUUUUGUGUUUGGAUGGGUAAACCCAUUGCCUACGUACCAUCUUAAAAAAGAUUAGGAUCAAAACCUCGUAGUUCGGGGUAAAAAUCUCAAAAUGAGUUGGUGAAUUGAUUGAUCCAAAAGCCUUAAGGUCUUUUGUUAUCAAAGGGAGAAAACUCAACCUAAAACACACAAUCCACCAUGUGAGGAUAGCAACAUGCUAGUGAGGGGUUAACCCUAUAAUAAGCAUGGAAGACUCAUUGUCCAUCACUAAGGAUAUAGGUGACUAUUACAUCUACCACAAAGAUAACUCAAACCUAAUAGCUAAAGGUUAUGAAAAAAGUUUUGAUUAGAAAGUGGCCCUUGAAACCACAAAAAGACAUUUGAAUGGGUUAUAUUUACCAAUGAAAAGUAUGUACAAGAUAUGGUCAAAGUUGAUUUAAGGAUUCAAUUCAAAAUAAGUAUUAAGAAAAGAAAGUUGGAAAUCAAAAGCAUAAGGCUUAGGUUUCUAAUGUUGAGAACAAGUGUUAGAUGUUUGCACAAAAGUUUUGGCUUGGGUUAGAGUGGAGAGAAGAAGAAGAAGGGCUAAAGCCCUAAGCAAAGCAAAAGGUGAGGGAUAAAGAAACAAAACCACAAUGGAGUUCCUCUCUUGAGAUCAUAUGGAUGAUCCAAGUAGCUCCCAUCCUUUGGAAUAAGCUAUCACAAUAAUAGUAAGCUCAUCUCAAGCAAUCAAACAAGUCUCUUAAGAGAUCCUCAAUGUAUCUUGUGUCUUUCACUUUGGAUGAACAUGGCAAUGGUCCUUCAAUUUAAGCUCUCAUAGAAUCCCCUAGCACAAAAGCACACACAUUAAAAGUUCCAUGAAUUAAAUCAAGAAUGGACAAGAGUGAGUUUAGAAUAUGGUCCUUUCAAUGUUCAUCUUCAAGCUUAAGCAUUCUAAAAGCUCAAUGCCUAGUUGCUCUUUGACUCCAAGUUUGCAUAGGGAAAGUCCUAAAGUCUAAGUCCAUUUUGUCCAUUUUUGUAUUUGGUCCACAACAAUCAAAACAAAACACAAGCACAAUAAUAUAUAUACAAAUAUGUGCUCAAAUGAGCAAAAGGCAAAUGGCAUUAACAUAAACAUGUGCUCAAGUGAGCAAAAGGGAAAAGCAAAUGGAUAAUAUGUAUAAGAAUAGUAAAUUGCAUAAAAGUAAAGAGCAAAAAGUAAAUGUUAAUUGUUAAUGGUUAGUGUUAGUAGUUAGUGUGCCAUAAGGCAAAUUUAGCGCUAUGUUAAGCAAUCGUAAUUGUACGUUUAUGUAGAAGUCACAACUAUCUUAGGCCGGUCAAUAAUAAUGUAGGCACAAAACAAGUUAGAAGUCUUGAUUAGUGAACCAAGUUCCAACAACUUGCCAUGCCAAAAAGGAAAAGAGAAUUGAUCUUGUAUUUGUUUAAGCCUUUUGCAUGAUUUAGAAAACAACCUAUCCUUAAUGCAAAGCCAUUCACUUGAUCAAUUGAUCAAGAUGAAUUAGAUUUGAAUCAAGGAAUUAAGUCUCCCUAAUCAAUGCUAACUUAUCAACCUUCAACUCAUUGAUCAAAGGGAAGAGAAGAAGGAGAUGAAGAAUGGAUAAGGAAAAUGGAAAGAUCAAAAUGCAUAAGAUGAAAUAAGAUGUACCAAUCCAUAUGUAUUGACCAAAUGACAUUGAAAGUCAAAGUCAAACAAUGAGAAAUCAAAAAUGAGAUGAAGAUUGGAGAUCAAACAAUAAGCAUAAUAUUUUUGGCAUUUUCAAUAUAAAAAUAAACUUGAAUUAAAAAUAAAAGAAAGGUCAAACUUCAAAAUCACUUCAAAUCAACCUUGAGAGGUCCAAGUGAUUUAUCUCAAGUUCAACAAGAUCAAACUAAGUUUGACAAAAAAAAAACUGCAUUUUUAAAAGUCAGAAACUAUUUUUUAUCAAUUAAAAAUGAAUAAAAAUAACCUAAUUGAACUAAAAUCUCAAAUAAAUCUCAAAUCAAUAAAAAAAUUGAUGAGAAUAUUUUUCAUAGAUCCAUCAUCAUUCAAAUAAGUUAGGAAUUUUUUUUUGUAUUUUUUGAAUAUCAAAAACUAUUUAAAAUGAAUUAAAAACAACCAGUAAAGAGAAAAUUCACAAAAAAUAUCAAAUGAUGAAAUAAAAAAUAUUAAAAAUCAAAAUUAGAAACUAGAAAUUAUUUGAAGAAGAAUGCAAUUGGUCCCAUAUUUUUUGGAUUUAAAAUGAAGAAGAUGUUGAUUUUUGAAAUUAAAGUGAAUUAAAAGAAAUAAAGAAAAUAGAAAUCAAAAAUUAAAAAUUGGAAAAAAGGAGAAGCGUUGGAUGAUGGCUCAUUAAUUGAGCCGGCGCAUCACACGGCCUCUGAGCGCGCUUCCACCAAGGUCCUUAGUCAACUGAAUCACAUGGUGCAUUAUUGGAAGUCAUAACAAUGUGUGGAUGAGAUUAGAUCUGGAAACUGAGAUGGACGGCUCAGAUCCAAUUUGGAGACCAGACGGUGGCAAGCACCACCGUCUUCUCCGGCCACUUCAAAAAUUUGCAGAACAAAAAAUGGAAACCAAAAUGAACGAUCUAGGCAUCAAUCGAAAGAGGAAGUGAUGUACAUCACUCCUAUACCAUUCAUUUACACUUUAGAUUUCUAUUAAGGGAGAAAUCAGAGAUGAAAGCUCGAUGGUGUUCAUCAUGAACUUCAUGUUUUUACAAAAUUGAAAGCACAAAUCAGAUGCCUCUAUUGAAAGGACUUCAGCCAAACCAAGGAACUCAAGAAAUAAGCAAGGACCAAAGAGUUUCGAAGAGAAAAAGUUCUGAUAUCCACCUUUGAAAUGCAGGUGUGGUAAGCACGAUCCUUCACAUCCAAAGCUUGCAAUGAGAUCUAGUGAUGAAAAGGAAGCAAGGCUGAGGAAUUAUAGGUCUGAAAAUCAACCAAGGUAGUUGAAAUUCAGAUCUGAAUUUUUUAGAAGAAAGUAGAAAUUCCUUUAGUGAUGGCUAGGUUUUGAUUUCUGCAGCAUUUCAGAUGAAUCACGGGUUUGAAAUUUGAAUGGAAUAGAGUUCUAUUAUAGAGGGAUGUGGGCAACGGAAAAGAUGAUUCAACCGGUGCAGAAAUUGGAAUGGGAGACUGACCUUCCAAGCUUCAAAUCAAUUUUUUGAUGAACAUGAAAGUUGUUCAUAUUGUCCUUAAGAACAUUUUUUAUUUUGGAAUCAUCUCUAAUUGACCAACACAUAAAAAAGUAGGUUCAGUGGCCAUUUUCACUAGUCAGAUGAAUUGACUGAUCAACUUCUCAAAUCCACAACUCAUAUCUUGAUGAAUUGAUGAUUGAGGACACUCAAAUAAGUUCAAAUAUGCAUGACAUGAUGAAUUAAAGAACUUCCCUUGAUUGUAUUUGACCAUGGGCUGAGGUUGCUUCAAGAGCAAGGCAUUGUGGUGCACAAAAGAAUUAGGGUUUCUUUGGGAACAAACCUCAAACCCUUUGACUUGCUUUGAUCAAAAUGAUGAAUUGAGAUACUAGGGAGGCAUAUUUGAUGGAGGAGAGUUUUGGGAACCAUUACCAUGCUUGCUAUCAUCUUCUCUUGACCUUAUCAUUGCACAAAAGAUCUCCUAGAUGCUUUGGACCUUGUGAUUGCUCAAGCUACAAACAAAAGAUGUUAAUGACAUAUUUUUGUGCUUUUGGUUAAUAAAAAAAUGAGAAAAGCAAUAAUAUAUAAUUCAAGCAUGUUUGGUGAUCUCAAACCAUUCACAAGGGAUCCCAUCCAAAGGCAAAGGGAACCAAGAGGCUUAUGAUCCUUGAGGCAAUGCAAAUGCAAUGUUAUGAUGCCAUGAGGGAUUUUAGGGACAAAAUUGGGGUCUUACACACACCAAUCGUCCAAUUAUUUCGAGGAAUAAUAAGGAAAACACCUUCUACUCCUUUUUUGUUCGAUUAUUUUGAAAGUUUUGUUUGCGGAUGUUGAAUAUGCACGGUAGUGAGGCGUACACCUCCUACUUGCUUAUUCAAAGAAUAAUGAGGCAAGCGCCACCUAUUCCCUUAUCCAAGUUUAUUUAGCAUGUGUUAAUCGGAAGUCGAUAAUUUGUGCAAUAUGGUGAACGCCAAUUAUUCAAAUAAUCGAGAGAUGGCGAGGCGAACGCCUCCCAUCUUUUAUCAUUCGAGGUUUAAAUUGUAAAAGAUAUGUUUUUAGACGUCGUAUUUGAUUUGCGAAAAUAGUUUGAAUUUUGGUAGGUUUGGAUCGAUAAUUUGAGCAAUGUGGCGUACGCCAAUUAUUCAAAUAAUCAAGGAAUGGCGAGGCGAACGCCUCCCAUUCUCUAAUUGAGGUUUAAGUUAUAUAGUUUAUUUUUGUGAAAUUGUAUUCUAUAUAAAAGGUGAUUUGAAUUUAUUCGAUUGUGGUUUUGAUUUGAUGACGAAGAUUCGAGCAAUAUGGCGUACGCCAAUUAUUCGAAUAAUCGAAAGAUAGUGAGGCGAACGCCUCCUAUCCUUUUAUUAUCGGAAAUUUAGAAUCAAAUGGUUGUAGAAUUUGUAGUUGAUUUAGAAAAUGUGAUUUGAAUGUGUAUGAUUAAGGUUUAAUCGGGUGACAAGAACUCGAGCAAUAUGGCGUACGCCAAUUAUUCAAGUGCUUGAGAAAUACUGAAGCGAACGCUUCCUAUAUCUUUUUCAUCCCAAAAUUUAUGUUUGAAAGAGAAAAAUCUUAAGAAGUUAAACGGUUUGGAAAAUGGUUUGAAUUCAUGUUUAUGAAUGAAAUGAAUUUUAUUUAGUGUAUUGUUCAUCUACUCGAUCGAUCAAUAACCGAAUAAGUCUCAUUGUAAGAAAGCCCAAGAGUAAGCUAUGUGAGGUUGAUGGCGAUGCUAAGAGCAAUCAACGCACAAGGGUGUUUAAAAAAAUAGGCUCGAUGUUAAAUCGAGAAUUGGAUGAUUUAUUUGUGGUUUGAAUCAUGGUUUUGUAUUGAUGACAAAAUGGAACGAAAUGAUGUGAAGAAUUUAAAAUUCGAUUAAAUCACUUAUCUAAAAUAGUCAGAAAUAAUUAUCAAAUAUAUUUGAUUUAAACCAAAUAUUCGAGAUGGUUAAAAUUAAUUAUUAGAUUAACUAAUUUAAAUAAAUCUUGAUUAGAUCAAUUAUUUAAAUUAAAAAAAAAUUGAUCGAAGUAAGUGAACCACAAUGUGCUCAAAACAAUUUCACGAAGAUGACAACGAUACCUAAAUUCAGUUUCGGCAAAAAUCCUAAUGUGGCAAAUAUUAUAUUACUGUAUUGAAAAUUGAGCGGUAUAUUGACAUGAAAUUGUCGAAUCCGCGAGUCAAAAAUAAGUCCAAUUAAAUAAGGAGAUAAAUUAAAAUUAGUAAUAAACCAAUAGCAGGAGGGGUGCAAGCAAAGCACAGGAGGGUGAUGGUACCCAAACCAUUAAUUGGGUCAGGCCCAAAACACAAUCCAAUUAUCAAAACUCACUAACUAUACUAAUCAUGUAAUUAAUCCCUAUUAAAAAAUGCAUAAAGAAGAAAAGAAAAAAAAGUUUAGCACAAGAUUUUCUCAACCAAUCAGAAUAGGCAAGGAGUUUUUAGAGCUGGAUCACCUUAUCCAUCGCUUCAGUACCUACACAUCCCCAGCAGAACAAAUCACUCAAUGGAUCGCUUCAAAACCCACUUCUAAAUCACGUUGUUCGCAACUUUCACACUUAUGUUAACUUCCCCUGCAUCGUCCAUGUCAUGAUCGUCUCCGCCUUCAUGAUGAUGCAUCGUCGGCCACGAAACUCAGCGCAAAGAUGGUGAUGAUGAAGUUUCAAAAUUUGUACUGUAUAGCUACUGGUGAUGGUUGAGUUGCAACAUUUGUUGACAUGGAUGAUUCGGUUUAGAUAUGGGGAGGUUAUGUACCAAAAAACUUAUUCAAGCAUUAUAAUGAGUCGGGUUUGCUGGCGGUUGUAGCUGUUGGGGGUGGAAGGAAGUAGGUGGUUGGUUUUUUUUGCAGAAGUUGUUAGGUUUUUGUAUGGAUCUAACGGCGGUGAAGCGAAGUGAUGGCGGUAAAGAACAACGAGGUUUAAUAGUGACGGUUGAAGCCGGAGGAGACGGUCGUUGAGGGUUUGAGAGGUGAGGUGCGGUUGUGAAAUGGAGAUGGUUGACGAACGGAGGGAGCUAGCGGAUGUAUUCGGUUCAGUGGCCGGUCAUUUGGAGUGGGUUGUGGAAGGAGAUUUUCGGUGAGGGUUUCGUGGUGGUAGAUCAGAGAGAAAAAAGGUCGCGUGGUUUGAAGGUGAUGGUGGCGAGGGUUUGACGGCGGAAUGUUUAUGAGGGGUUGUGUCGUUAGCGGUGGUGAGUGGUUGAUGGUCGAUUGAAGAAGAAAAAGGAGAUGGUGAUGGUUCUGUGUGUGGGAAGUAGAUCGGAGGGUUUGAACAGACGGGGUAUGGUUGAAGUGGGAUUUCGGCAAGGUAACAGUAUAUUUGUUCUUUUUCCUUCCCAAUGAUUCGACGCAUCCUUUUAUAGGCGAAGUUUGUGGUCCCUCUGAGUAUAAGCUGGCUCGGAUUGCAUAAUUAUUCGGUUAGAAUUGGAUCAUUCCCAGAUUUGGUGGGGACCAAAUACGUGACAGGUAAGAAUCUCUCUCUCUGUAGUGUAAUCUCAAAUCCUUCUAGAACAUGUGGUCCCAUAGGAGAAAAUCUCACUGCUUGUUGUCACGUUAUGCUUGUUGUUUGUUGAACGCAGGAUCUCAUUGGCGGCAUGACAAGUCCUUAUUCUCUGCCUUGGUUGUGAAGCGGCUUACGUUUUGAAUUGAGAUUAGAGUGUGAGCAUCUAAGAAGGGUGAAAACGAUGGUGGACGUUAGCAUUCGUCCGCUUUCCGAGGCUUGGAUUUGUUUUUGAGAAGAAUUUCGGUUGAAUUUCCCCUGUGAAACUUUACUUGUUAGCUUCUUGAUUUUGGUUGAAAAUCCAACUUUCUGUAUGCAUUGCCGGUGUUUGUUUUUAUUUACUUUGGCUUGAUCUCUUGGCUCUCAUCAAGUCAAUUGUUCAUGCUGCUGGAUUGUACAUGUUUGUGUGUAUGAAUUACUAUUAUGUAACCUUUACUCACACACUUGAUUUUGCAGGUUGCACUUGUGAAAUUAGUUUGCAGGUUCAACAGUACUGAAUGGAUCUCCUCUUGCAAGCUUAAGUUUAUUUUUGAAAGUGGUAUUUGAGAAGAGUGAACUUAUUAGCUCAUUAUGCAUUCCUGUUCUUCGGAUAACUUGCAGGAAAGGCCCCCAUUAGGUUGAAGCAAUUUCGUCUGCUAUUUGGAUGAGUCAGAGGUAUCUAUUUAAAAACUGCACAACCUAAACGUUCCUGUACUUUCAGAAUCCAUGUACCUUUGUAGCAUGAAUUUGUGUUGUUGCUUGGUACUUUUGAGUUUGAUCUGGUAUACGACUUACCGCAGAUUUUGAUGUUACCACUGAUGUGUUGUAGAGUACUGAUUAUCUCAUUCCUAUUGGUAAGCCUGUGGUACUAUCUGGCGGCAAUCCUCCAAGAAGAUUGACAAAUGCUGCAGGUAUCAUCGCCUACAGAGUUUAAACCAUGUAUUUGAUUGUUUUGUAUGAUGAUGUUACCGGUGUAUUCAAUCCGUGUUGGUAACCUGCUGCAGGUUUUGGUUGCAUUUACCCUGAACAUUGUUUAGAUGGCAUGUUCAUGUUUUAAUUUUAUGUUAUGCAUUUCUAGAUUAUGCUGCAGUAGAAAGCAAUUUAGCCGACGACUGUCGUGGGCCCUGCCCUUGAUUAAUAAUCCAACUCAAUUGCAGCUAAAUUUCCAACAGAUGUGCCCUCCACAAUGCUCACUUGACUAGCUGGAUUGGGCAUGGGGGAACCAAAUGGUGGUUCUGAUGAUUUCCACUCAGAAAACGCGGUAUGAGCAAUUGCUAACACACUAAUUAAAUCCAUAGAUCCUUGAGAUAUUGAGGUGCUUGUACUAACUUGAGAAGCACUAUUUCCAGGACCUUGAUCAAUUUUAAGUGAAUCAGGUUAAGAUGCAUUUAAUAACUCAAAAUGCACCUGCAGUUGGUGAUGGUUGGGAGCAACGGCAGCAGGCUGUGCUGGUGUAGCUAUAUGACCUGAAAUAUACGGGGAAACCGGUGGCUUGGGUGGUUCGCUUGGAUCUAUACCAGAUCCAAAACAUAAAGCUUGCCCCUGCAUCAUUUGUGUGUUUUGAUUAACUUUCUCAACAGGUUGGCUUCCUGAAGCAGUUGCCUUUCCUUUGCCAAUCGGAUUGCAUAUGCCUGUUGUGAAUUUGAGGCAUGGUUUUGUAUAUGAUGUACUGAUGCUUAGGUCAUGUACUUUGGUCAUUGUAUUGUGUAUGUCAGCAUGUGAGUUGGUUUUUGGUUGUAAUGAGAAUGGACAAGGUUUAUGUGUUUUGGUUAUAAUAAUUUAUGUAAUGACAGUUUGGCUUUUGAAAUGAACAUGGUU
rnacentral:lncRNA from 1 species